GUCCUUGCCUUCCACCGAAACCCCUAAGUCAGAACUGUCUUAAAUGCUUAUCCUAAUGGAAGGAGCCUGGCCCCGUCUAGCUAAGAGGUGAGAAGAAGGGCUGGCUGUGGAAAGACAAAUUUGAUGAAUGUCUGCUGCUGAAUAAUGCAUGUGCUCUGUUUGUGAAGCUAAUUAACUGAAUUCACUUAAUGGAAAAAACGGUGCUAAGAAUUCUUUUUCUUUCAGAAAGGGCUGAGGAACUGAAUAGAAAAAUGCUCCCUCAACAGCAUACCCCUGCUCUAAGUGUCACCGGGAAGUCACAUCAAAUGCUCUGAAGGUGCCGGAUAUAUUUUUCCAAUUGCUUUUUAGCUUUGUAAUUACAAGGAUCUAAAAACCUUGAUUUGCCUUUUCAAUAACUUACGGCGAAACCCCGUUGCCAGCACAGGCAAGGCAAUUUCCAGCGUGCCUGCAGGACGGAUUGGACUGUGAAGGAGCAGAAGGCUAGGAAAGCGAUAUUUCUUUUUCUCUCUCCUCCAGUGUUCUAGUUUGUCACUCAUUUUCAUUUCCUAUUUUUAACUGCUAGCUAGUGAGCAUCCAAUUCGGCAUGCAGGGAUUGUUUUCCGAUUUCAAAGCCCUGCAAGGCCACAUUCAAAUAGGAACGGGGACUUAUUUCAGUUAAACUCUGGAGAGCAUGGAAAUGAGAUUUUUGUUUCCCUCACUGCAUGUGUAUUAUUCGUCAUUCUCUGCUAUUUCGGUGAAUUUUAAGGACAAGGCAAUGUGUUGGUACUGUCUUUCACCAUUACUCAAAUGCCAUUCAGGGCCUUUAAUUUGUUCUUUUCUGAUUCACUUUGUGCAGGAUUUGUUUUUGCGCUGUUAUUUUUUGCUUGGUUAUUUCCUUUUUCCUUUUUUUUUUUUUUCAAUUUAAUCUACCCUAAGUUUUUUUUUUCUUAAAUAAUCACCCAAUGUUUGUAUUCAUCUUAAAAUCAUUCACACCCGUCAAUAACUGCUUAGUCUACUGACAGUUGACUUUAAUAGCACGUAUACUGAACUUUCAGUCUUAAAAUCCACAUCACUGAUAGUAAAUAAGGGAGCCUACGAUAUCUGCAGGGAGAGAAAAGCCACUGGGCCUGUCUCCAGAUUUUCUCACCUGGAGUUGUCCCGCUUGACUACCUUAAGGCUCUCUGGAGGGCAAUUCAAAAGCUUGGGAGACUUUUCUUAUGAGCCCCAGUGGGGCUUUGAGCUCAACCCAACCCAGCUUAAACCACAAGCUGCCUCUGUCUCUUGGAUCUGUGAGUUUCCUCUGCUCUUAUACCGAGGGGCUAUGAGCAAUCAGCCAGCUAUGCCAUCCCCAGACUUGGGUGGAUCCUAGAACAAAAGGAGUUUCCCUGGGUCUAUGCCCUCUGCAUGCCAUUGGCCCAAACUUCCCCAACAUGUGGCUACUGUACGUUUUCAUUCUGUGAAGAAGACGAUAGGGAACAAAGAUUAUGUCAACAUCACUUGAGAGGGUACAAAAGCCAGAUCAAAGAUGGGGAUGCUCUCCAGAGCAGCAUUCCUUCAAGGGGUAAAAAUGGUCACAACUGAUUGUGUCAUCUGAGAAGAGAGUUGGCAUGACUGUUCUUACCAGGAUCCACUCAAAGGUGCCCUCACGGGUAUCUACCUGAUAUGAUAUCAAAGGCCUGGGGAGAUUUCCACAUGCAGAAAAACUGAAAAAGAGAGAAAGGCAAGAGAGAGGACAAGAGAGAGAGAGAGUGAAAACAACCCCACCCAGCCACCCUGAUUACUGUAAGAUCUCUACGAUUUCACUAAUGAGACUAUAUUCCUUCCAACUCUCAGCCUCCUUGGAGAGGCGGGCCUGGGGCCUCUUUUGAACAUCAUUAGUCACUGAUUUUCUCAGUUGAAAUCAGUGAUGGGAGAUUACUAGGCCUCGGGGCCAGGACUGGAGUGAGGCAAGCCAGGUGUCCAGGGACAAAUAUUUCAGGAGGCUCUCACUCUCAGGUGCUGACAGAGGAAGAUAGAAUAAAGACGACUGAAACAAGAGUAUCCAAACUGCACUUUUAAGAAAAUGGGUUGGGGGCUCCUGAGUGGCUCAGUAGAUUAGGCAUCUGACUUUGGCUCAGGUCAUGAUCUCACAGUUCGUGAGUUCGAGCCCCACGUCAAGCUCUGUGCUGACAGCUCAGAGCCUGGAGCCUGCUUCAGAUUCUGUGUGCGUGUGUCUCUCUCUACCCCUCCCCUACUCACACUCUGCCUCUUUUGCUCUCUCUCAAAAAUAAACAAACAUUAAAAAAAAAUUUUAAAGACAGUUGGGACACCAGGCAGGAAAGGAAAGAUGAGAAAAAUAAAGUGACUUAUCCUAAGCAUAUGCAGCAAAGGAAAGGAAACACAGAUCUUCUGACUUCUGCCUGGACUGCUUUACCUGCUUGUUUUUGAAUGCUUUGGAAUCCAAGAUUUUUGUUUUAUGCUGGUUGUUGCAAGAACGUUUUAUUAUCUCUGCAUUUUUUUGUGUGCUUUUUGACUUAAUUGAAACAGCUAAGCUUUGGGGUAGGAGAGACUGGAUUCCAGUUUUACCGCUUACAAAUUUAUGCAGCUUUGGAGAAAUUAUUUACCGUUCGUGAGUCCCAGUUGCUCAUCUGUAAAGUGGGGCUGUUUGAGAACUGAUGAGAUCGUUCAGAUGGGUUUAAGCAGGCAUUCAUUCAGCAAAGUGUAUUGAAUGUCUGUCUAAGCCAAGUCCUGUGCCAAGAGCUGCAGUUAAAAUACUGAGCAAAAGCAACAUAUCCCCGGUUUUCAGUCGCGUGAAGGAAACAGAGAAACGAGAUCUUCUGAGUAGAUCAAACAUUGAUGAGCACCUGCAGAUGGUUUUAGGUGGAGUAGAUACCAAUAUCCGUGGAUUCACUUCUGCUUCAUAAAGGGGCGCAAGGAUUAGUUGGCAUAAAGAAUUAUUUCUUCUUUAUUCACAGGUUUCAUUUUUUCCCCCAGUGGAUUAAUUUAGCUUUAAACCUCACCAGGCAGACAUCAGAGCUUAUUGAAUGGAUAAUGCACUUUUCAUAAAUUCCCUGACAUAAAGGAGUACAAUGAGUCAUGCUUUCAAAAGUGUCUGAAGAUAGAUUUACACCACAUGAUAGUCAUAACGGUUCAUUUGGAGCAGUUAUGUAGUCUGUUGGGUAAAUAAUGAAAGUUGUAUAAAUCACAUCAAUGCUGUGUUUACACAAUAGACCGUAACUACUCCAGAGGAGCUCAAACAAUCUGAUACAAGAACAUUUUAUAAAUGAUGUAAAUACAGUUCACGUUUAAGUUAAUCAAGUGAAGCAGCCCCAAAGGAGGACAGGGUUGUCGGGAAGGCCUGCAGGAGACAAGAGGAAUGAAAUAUGUAUCUUUGGUGAAAGUUUAUAUCAGUUAAGCCUCCUGGCUUUCAAAUAACGGGAGCCAACUUAAGCUCCCUUAAUAAGAAACAAAAAGGGGUGGGGUGGGGAGAAGGGCAGGACAAUUUCUUAAAAAUAUACAGGGGUGCUUCGCAGAACCUGAAAGUCAGCAUACAUCUAGGUUUUAAGGAGAAACUGCAAUGAGGAGAGAGAAUGCUGCAAAACCCCAGAAAGUGUGUCCUGUCUGUUGUUUUCUUGAAACUUCAUUCUACUCUCUGCAAAUCUGCAUUCUCUACGUUCUUGUCCUUGUGUCUUCCAUAGCUUCCCUGUUUACUGUUCUGUUCUGUUACUGUUUCUAUCCCUGGUUACUGUUGCAGCUGCAUGUAGAAAUAGAUUCCCUGCCUCUCUAGGUCGGAGUUUCAAUUUCCCAGAGAGGGAGUUUCAGUGGCUCAGUUUGAGUCACACACACACACGCACACGCGCGCACACACACACACACACACGUCCGCCCUGCUCCCAGUAAGUUCUGCGAGAAGGCUGGGGACAGAAAGUAUAAUCAUGGCCAACCGUGGCACAUGCCUGUGUGUAACGAGAGAGUUCUCAGAGAGGAGAAUGACUUCUGAGCAGGAGAGACAGUAGAUAAUCAUCUACUCGAAGUGCUACAGUCUUGCUAGAGCCCAGGGGCAGAGACAUACACUGUGACGAGACCCGAGAGAUAUUGAGCCUCUGUAGAGCCAGCCCAUUCCUUGCUACAACCAGGAGAGAGAAGAGCCAAGAAAAUUACUGGCAUGUUGCCUAUUUUAUGACUCAACUUACCUUAUAAUUCUUCUUCUAGGGAAGUGCUUUUUAUAACGAAGUACUCAUGUCUUGGCAGUAUGCACUGCAAAACAAACAAACAAAACCAAAAAUUCGAAACACCAGAAGGACAGGUUUUUUGGUGUUUCCCUUCAUGCCCUGUACCCAUAAAAGGAACUCAAUAAAUAUUUGCAAAUUUCCAUACUUUAUAUAGAAUCCAGAGUAGAAACCUCUUAAGAGAGUAGGCACUUGAUGAGUAUCGUGGGAUUAUUAUGGGAUGACCAUUACAUUUUUAAGUGCAUUAUUUAUAAAAUUCAUUAGCCUAUCUCAAAGUGCUUCAGUACCUGUGUGACUUUGGCUCGCCCCUGUGUUGCCAGGAAAACAUGACUGCAGACGAUUUUCAUCAUCAUAGUGUUAGGAUAGUUCUUUGAAUAUACAACACAUGUGCUCACCACCUCCUCCAACCUCAGUGGUCACCCUCUUAGGAAGCCCAGAACCUCUGCUUUCCUCUCCUUGUCUCUUUUCUUCAUUCCCCUUUCUGGAUGGCUCUCAGAACCAAAGAAAAAAAUUCAUCAGCUCACUAGUUGAGCUUAUGACACUUUAUUUACCUUAUCAAACAGUCCAGUGUAUAUGUAAAUGGACCAGCGUCCUUUGUGGGGUGUCUGGGAGAACCUGCUUCCUUUUCUUCCAACACAGACAUAAUCAGUGUCAGAAACGCCCAUCAAAUUUGUCGUGAUACUUUGCCGAAAGUUUGUUGGUUGUUUUUCUCCCUUUGUAAGAAACAAACACAAGAAAGUGUAAGAAGGAAAGCAAACAACAACAAAACACACAUAAUUCCACCAAUCAAGAGACGAUCAAGGUCAACAUUUGAGUUUAUUUCUUUUUGGUUAUAUUUAUUAAUAAGCUUAGCUGAGCCCACAUGGUGUCAGCAGAAUUAUACAGGACUUUUGUCCAAGUAUUAAACACCUUCAUAAAUAUUUUAAGGGAUACAACAUAUUUCUUAUGCAGGUUCUAUCAUUUUCCUAACUGCAUCCUCAUUUUUCAUAUUUAUGUUUUUUGCAAUGAUUUUGAUGUAUAUUACCAAAUUAUCUUUUACAAAGAUGGUAUAAAUUAAUAUUCCCACCAGAAAAACCCCUUCACAUGUACUGACUACUGACGAGAAAUUUAAAAUGUAAAAUGUCCUGCCCUUAUUUUAAUGUACAGUUCUCUAUGUUACAUUUCAUGUAUUUAUUAACCAUCUUAUUGCUUCUUAUAUUAUUUAUGCCUGUAUCUCUCUAUAUAAUUGAUAUUUUUUUAAUUUGUUUUUUUAUUUUUUUGUAAUUUAUAUCCAAAUUAGUUAGCAUAUAGUGCAACAAUGAUUUCAGGAGUAGAUUCCUUAGUGCCCCUUACCCAUUUAGCCCAUCCCUCUCCACAACCCCUUCCGUAACCCUCAGUUUGUUCUCCAUAUUUAUUAGUCUGUUAUGUUUUGUCCCCCUCCCUGUUUUUAUAUUAUUUUUGUCUCCCUUCCCUUAUGUUCAUCUGUUUUGUCUCUUAAAGUCCCCAUACGAGUGAAAUCAUAUGUCUUUGUCUCCCUCUGACUAAUUUCACUUAGCAUAAAACCCUCCAGUUCCAUCCACGUAGUAGCAAAUGGCAAGAUUUCAUUCUUUUAGAUUGCUGAGUAAUACUCCAUUGUAUAUAUAUACCACAUCUUCUUUAUCCAUUAAUCCAUCAGUGGACAUUUGGGCUCUUUCCAUACUUUGGCUAUUGUUGAUAGUGCUGCUAGAAACAUUGGGGUGCAUGUGUCCCUUCAAAACAGCACAUCUGUACUCCGGGGAUAAAUGCCUAGUAGUGCAAUUGCUGGGUCGUAGGGUAGUUCUAUUUUUAAUUUUUUGAGGAACCUCCAUACUGUUUUCCAGAGUGGCUGCACCAGCUUGCAUUCCCACCAACAGUGCAAAAGAGAUCCUCUUUCUCCUCAUCCUCACCAACAUCUGUUGUUGCCUGAGUUGUUAAUGUUAGCCAUUCUGACAGGUGUGAGGUGGUAUCUCAUUGUGGUUUUGGUUUGUAUUUCCCUGAUGAUGAGAGAUGGUGAGCAUUUUUUCAUGUGUCGGUUGGCCAUCUGGAUGUCUUCUUUGGAGAAGUGUCUAUUCAUGUCUUUUGCCCAUUUCUUCACUGGAUUCUUUGUGUUUUGGGUGUUGAGUUUCAUGAGUUCUUUGUAGAUUUUGGAUACUAACCCUUUAUCUGAUAUGUCAUUUGUAAAUAUCUUCUCCCAUUCUGUCGGUUGCCUUUUAGCUUUGCUGAUUGUUUCCUUCGCUGUGCAGAAGGUUUUUAUUUUGAUGAGGUCCCAGUAGUUUCAUUUUUACUUUUGUUUCCCUUGCCUCUGGAGACGUGUUGAAUAAGAAGUUGCUGUGGCCAUGAUCAAAGAGGUUUUUGCCUGCUUUCUCCUCAAGGAUUUUGAUGGCUUCCUGUCUUACAUUGAGGUCUUUCAUCCAUUUUGAGUUUAUUUUUGUGUGUGGUGUAACAAAGUGGUCCAGGUUCAUUCUUCUGCGUGUCACUGUCCAGUUUUCCCAGCACCACUUGCUGAAAAGACUGUCUUUAUUCCAUUGGUUAUUCUUUCCUGCUUUGUCAACGAUUAGUUGGCCAUUCAUUUGUGGGUCCAUUUCUGGGUUCUCUAAUCUGUUCCAUUGAUCUGAGUGUCUGUUCUUGUGCCAGUACCAUACUGUCUUGAUGAUUACAGCUUUGUAGUACAGUUUAAAGUCUGGGAUUGUGAUGCCUCCUGCUUUCGUUUAGAGUGAGUACUGAAAGAUAUGAAUUUACUGCCAUUAUGAUGCUUGUCGAGUUGGAGUUUCUGGUGGUGUUCUCUGGUCCUUUCUAAUCUUUGUUGCUUUUGGUAUUUAUUUAUUUAUUUAUUGAUUGAUUGAUUCAUCUUGUCUCCGCUCAGAGAGUCCCCCUUAAAAUUUCUUGCAGGCCUGGUUUAGUGGUCACAAACUCCUUUAAUUUUUGUUUUUCUGGGAAACUUUGAAUCUCCCCUUCUCUUUUGAAUGACAGCCUUGCUGGAUAAAGAAUUCUUGGCUGCAUAUUUUUCUGAUUCAGCACAUUGAAUGUAUCCUGCCACUCCUUUUUGGCCUGCCAAGUUUCUGUGGAUAGGUCUGCUGCAAACCUGACCUGCCUUCCCUUGUAGGUUAGGGACUUUUUUCCCUUGCUGCUUUCAUGAUUCUCUCCUUGCCUGAGUAUUUUGUGAAUUUGACUAUGUUAUGCCUUGUUGAUGGUCGUUUUUUGUUGAAUCUAAUGGGAGUCCUCUGUGCUUCCUGGAUCUUGAUGUCUGUGUCUUUCCCCAGGUUAGGAAAGUUUUCUGCUAUGAUUUGCUCAUGUAACCCUUCUCCCCCUAUUUGUCUCUCUUCCUCUUCUGGGCCCCCUGUGAUUCUGAUGUUCCUUUUUAAUGAGUCACUGAUUUCUCUAAUUCUUAACUUGUGCUCUUUGGCCUUAAUCUCCCUCUUUUUUUCCUGCUUCAUUAUUCUCUAUAAGUUUGUCCUCCAUAUCCCUGAUUCUCUGUUCUGUCUCAUCCAUCCUUGCUGCCACGGCAUCCAUUCGUGUUUGCAGCUCAGUUAUAGCAUUUGUUUAUUUCAUUCUGACUAGUUUUUACUCCUUUUAUCUCUGCAGCAAGGGAUUCUAAUCUAUUUCGACUCCAGCUAGUAUUCUUAUUAUCGUGAUUCUAAAUUCUGGUGCAGACAUCUUGCUUGUAUCUGUGUUGGUUAAAUCCCUGGCUGUCAUUUCUUUGUGCUCUUUCUUUUGGGGUGAAUUCCUUCUUUUUGUCAUUUUGAAGGGAGAAAAGGAAUUAAUUAGGUAGAAAAAUGAAAAUUAAAAAAAUAUUAAAGUUAAAAAAUUAAACAUACACACACAAAGUCACAUAAAUGAUGCUAGAUCCUAGGUUUGUUUUGGUCUAGGUGGUGAAAGUGGUUUGACUGAUUAGAGAAAAAAAUGGGGGAAAAAAAAGGAAAUCAUUUGAGAUUUUGAAAAAAAUGAAUACACUGAAGUAGACUAAAUGGAGAUGAUGGGAGUAAAACAGAAUUUGAAGAAAUUUACACAAAAGUAAAGAAUAUAGUAGAAAAAAAUAAAGGAAAAUAUUUUCAGGAAAAAUUAAAAAGAAAAAUGAAUUUUUUCUCUUUCUGUAUUCAAGAAAAAGAAAAGAAACAAAAAAGAGAAAAAAGAGAAAAAAAGGAAAUCGUUUGAAAAUUUGAAAAAGUGAAUACACUGAAGUAGACCAAAAUAAAAUGAUGGAAGUAAAAUAGAAUUUGAAACAAUUUACACAAAAGUAAAACAUAUAGUAAGAAAAUGAAGGAAAAAUAUUUUUAAUAAAAAUUGAAAAUAAAAAUAAUUUUUUUCUCUGUAUUGGAGAAAAAGAAAUGUAGUGUAAAAGAGAAAAAAAGAAAGAAAAUUGAAUAGAUGGACCUGCUAACAGAUUGAAAUAGGACUGAAAUUGCUUCAUUUUCCCCUAGAAGUCAGACUAUGAAGCGCUUUAUAGCCCAUGAACUAAGCAGGCGGUGAGACGUGUCUUCUUGAAGAGCGAGGUUGGCGCAGUUGGGCGGGGCUCAGUAUAACGGCUCCAUGCUCCACUAGAUGGCGCUGCUGGCCUACUGGGGCGGAGCAUUGCGGUGCUCAUAGGUGCGUCUGCGCAUCCGCGGGAGUGGUUAAGAUGGCACCACCCAGACACCCAGUCUGUUCUCCCGGAUCAGCAGCACACCCGUUCCCUGUCAUCAGCUUUCAUCCACUCCCUGCUCUUUCACUCUCCGUGACCAGGCCCCAGGCAGCACCUCUCUCCCGAGUUUUGUCUCAGAUGCGGCUGUUUUCCCCGGCCCCUUACUUCUGAAGGACCUUGGCUUCGGCCCGUUCCACCCCUCUGUGGGAGGGUCUCACCGAGCAGUGGCCGAAUGAGCAAGGGCCGAAUGUCGGCCGCAGCCAGGAACGCUUGCUGGACCCUGCUGCUGCCGGUGCCCCGAGACUGUGGCCAGGUGCCGCCCGCCCCAGAAAAAGUUCACGAGACAGUGUAGCAGCAGGGAUUAUGGAAAAUCACAACACACAUCCAGCACCAGGCUUCACCCUUAAGGACCUUGUUCCAGCACCAGCGAAUGUGGCAGCCUUCCGGGGUCUGCCGGGACCAGGUGGCUUCAACAGUCUCUACCAAAUGUCCUUCCAGCAGUGGAGCCGCUUUUCCCUGUGUGGCCUGAGAACCUCCCGGACCCCACUCUGCUCCUGGGGAUUCGCCCUUCCCACCAGAGCAUCGCCAGGUAUGGAGCCACGGAGUUGCAGCCUUUGCGCUCCCCUUGUUUACAGUCUUAAUAGAAUUAAACCCUCUCCUUUCUCCUUUCUCCCAUUUUAGUUUAGUUCCUGCGGCUGUUUCCAAUUUUCCACUUUCUCUCCAGCUGCUUUUGGGGAGGGGUGCUUUUCCCGUAUUCUCCCUCCUUCCCCUGUCUCCAUCCUCUCUCCACCCGCAAAAGCACCUCCCUUCCUGCGGCGUCUCGCUCCCCAAGUUCACCUCUCCAUGCUGCCUACCUGCUGAAUUCUGUGGUUCAGGUUGUGCAGAUUGUUGUGUUAUACCGCAGAUCAGUUUUCUAGGUGUGCGGGAUGGUUUAGUGUUGGUCUGGCUGUAUUUCAUGGACGUGAGACACACAAAAAACUUCCAUGCUGUUCCGCCCUCUUGGCUCCUCUCUUCGACCAAGUCAUUUUACAUUGGAAACCCUCCUCCAACCUCUGGAAAUUCCAAUCUUUCUUUUCUUCUUUUUACCCUUUGCUCACUGGUGUCUGAUACGUAGUAGGUCCUUAUGAAGUAUUUGUGCAUCUGAAUGAAUGGAUGUAGAUAUAUUCCCUGCUGAAGCCCAAUCUGCGCCCAUAAAAACACUUCAGGGCAAUUUGUAGAGGCACCUAUAGCCCAUGCCUGUAACAAAAUAGCUGCAUAAUCACCAUGGAAGCUACUAUAAUUAGAGAGGCUUGAGUUUAUGAAACAUUGAAGCUUAAGACCUAAUUUUCCUGCCCUGAUUGAUCCAAUAACUUCUUGUCUCCAUGGGUUCCACGGAUUAUUUCAGUCUCUGAAUAUCAGUGCUUACAGCUAUCUAUCCAGAUUCCCAGUUGAUUCAUUCAUUGGAAGUUUAAUGAAAUAAUAAAUAACAUUUCUCUCUUGCCUUUCUGAGUUCAAAAAUAAGGAAUAGGUAAAUGAAUUAAUGAGAUGUACAUCAAAAUAUCAACUCAAUUUACAGCAGAGGAGAAAGCAGCUCAAGGCUAUCACUAUAAUCAGGUUCCUGAUGUAUCCCCCAUUCCUUUGUAUUUGUUUAUUAAUAAAGUUCACCACAACUCUGUAGGUCAAUUUUAAGACUUCAAAGUACUGAGUCCUGAGGAAAGAGGACUUUAUGUCUUGGUGUGUGGGGAGGGAGAGUGGUUGGAAGUAAAGAUAAAUUUUAUCUAUUGCUAGCUUUCACUAUAGGGACAAUUGUUUUUUUUUAUUUUUAAUUUUUUUAUGUUUAUUUAUUUUUGAGACAGAGAGAGACAGAGCAUGCACGGGGGAGGGUCAGAGAGAGGGAGAGACAGAAUCUGAAACAGGCUCCAGGCUCUGAGCUGUCAGCACAGAGCCCAACGCGGGGCUCAAACUCACGGAUUGCGAGAUCAUGACUUGAGCUGAAGUCGACGCUCAACCGACUGAGCCACCCAGGCGCCCCACUAUAGGGACAAUUGUAAAGAAUGGGUCUUUCAGAAUUAGUUUCCAUAGUGUCUUUGGUGACAUGAGCCAGCAUAUUCCAUCAAAUAAGAGAAUCUUGUCAACUACCUAUGGUCUUGAUUUCUUUAUUUUUCUACUUUUAUAUGGCUUCCAAAAGGGAGAAGAGGAAAGGAAAGAUACCACUCCUGUCAGUUCCACUAGCUAAUUAUUUUCUCCUUCUCCUCAUCCAUCAUUCUCUCCUUUUUCUCUUCCACCUUUUUUAUUCUCCUUCCUGACUGCAGUAUUUUCCUUUUUUGACCUACGGAAAAGAGAUCUGAAACUUUUGAUUACUUGAAUUUCCCUUCCCUCCCCUUCCCUGCCCUUCCCUCCCCUCCCCUUCCUGCCUCUCCUGUCUUUUGCUCUCCUCCAUGCACUCUCUGCUUGGAUUUUGGGUAGUUGUAAUUUAUUCCACACUUCAUGAGUUCAGAUGCUUUAAAGUUUGUUGCAAAAAGUAGUGUUUUCUUAUUUCCCAUCAUCUUUUCCUAGGAUGAUAAGUUCUAAAAUUCUUUUUUUUUAAUGUUUAUUAAUUUACUUUGAGAGGGAGAGAGAGUGCACAAGUGGGGGAGGGGCAGAAAGAAAGGGAGAGAGAGACAGAGACAGAGACAGAGACAGAGAGAGAGACAGAGAGAGAGAGAGAGAGAGAGAGAAUCCCAAGCAGGCUCCACAUUCUCAGUACCUGAUGCAGGGCUUGAUCCCAUGAACCUCGAGAUCAUGACCUGAGCCAAAAUCAAAAUCAAGAGUUGAUUUUGAACCACCCAGGUGCCCCUAAGUUCUAAAAUUCUUGAGCCAGUGAAUCCCUGACAUAUAAACAAAGACUAGGGAAAGCACCCUGUGACUGAGGCAUUUUAAUAGCUAUGGUAAUCCCAGCACCAAAUGUUUUCUAUCGCCUUCUCUGCAGCUGACUGUUGCUUCAGAUACGAUUGGUUCAUGAAAUCAUUUAAGAUUCAGUUCCAAAGCACAGGCAUGGUUGAUAUUUCUAGACAUGUCCCUGAUAUAAAAACAUUCAGCGUUUUUCAUUUAAACAUUUAUGAAAGAUCCCAAACAUGUUAGCAUUUUUAUGGUCUCAGCAGUGAUAUUUAUAAUGUUACCAAUUUUCACAGAUUGAGGAAAUGUUUAUCAUAAAAUGUAAAGCACACUAUAGAAUAUCUAUAUGGCUAAGCAUCUGAUAGCAAGAGACAUAACCCCCUCACCCUGCAUUUAAAUCCCCACUCCCUUUAUAGGCUUACAUUAUGCAUUGACCCACUCCUUUCUCACUGACCUCUUUAAAGCUAUGGACAAACUCAAAUACCUACAGACAUCAGAGAGGUAAUAUAAAUGAGAGAGAUGUUUGAAUACAAGAAAACCAGCAGAACAAAUUUGAAGAUAAACAGUAAGUCCCUGCAGUCUCAGAGAUACACUAAAGAGUGGGAGAGAUUGUGGUGUAUUAGAAACCACAUACCCUGUCUAAAGGGAACAGGAUACUCUCUGCAUUGUUACCUGGUAAGAAUAUAGCCAUGCAUUGCCAGAUCUUCCAAAUUUUUUGGAGAAGCUGGAAUUUGGAUAUUGAUGUAGAAUAUUCUAUUAGCCCAAGUGCUAGCAACUUACUCAGAUAACUUAAAAGCACUGUGUGGAACGAAGAUCAUCUGAAGAGUAGAACUGGCUCAAAAAAGCUACAGCUUUGUUGUGGAACAAUUGAAACCCACCGUCUCUGACGAUUCUAUUGCUUUGCCAUGGACUCCAAAGUCAUUAAUUGACUAAUGAAGGAGAAGCAAAAAUAAGAAGGAAAUAAGAUUUAAUUGGAAUCUAUUAUGGUCCAGGCAGAGUGCAAUUACUUCAAUACCAUUUAGAAAAUGUUGGUUGAGUAUAUACUUCGUGCCAGACAUGAGGCAAAAUUCUUGGGAUAUAUCAGUGAACAAAAUAGACAAAAUCUCUAACCUCAUUGAGUUCAUUCUAUCUACAGCUCCUACUGAAUGUCAACUUCAAUCCUGAAGAGAAGAAGUGUUAUUAGCAUCAAGUUUUAGAUCGGCCAAAAACUGAUGGAAAACACAUUUGAACCCAGUUGAGCAAGACUUCAAAUCCUUAUUUGUUCCCACUGUGCCAAAUCCCAUGCUAGUGCCCAAGACAAUGGAGAUGGGGAGAUGGCCUUCGAGAUAAAGUGAUUUCUAUGUGUAUUGAGGGAGUGGGGUCUCACUGAGUUACAAAUGACAGUUGACCCUUGAACAAUGUGGGGGUUAGGGGCACUGACCUCCCCACCCCCAGCCCCUGUGAAGUAAAAAAACCUCCUAUAACUUUUCACUCUCCCAAAACUUAACUACUUAACUCCUAACAGCCUACUAUUGACCAGAAGCCUUACUGAUAAUGUACACAGUUGAUAACACAUAUUUUGUAUGUUAUAUGUAUUAUACAUUGUAUUCUUAUAAUAAAACAAGCUAGAAAAAAACCAUUAUUAAGAAAGUCAUGAAGAAGAGAACACACACGUAUAAUACUGUACUGUAUUAACUGAAAAAAGUACACAUGUAAGUGGGCCAUGUAGUUCAAACCUAUGUUGCUUGAAGGUCAACUGUACAUCUCGCAACUGUAAUAACAAUAGCCAUAUCAGCACACAUUUAUUAAGUAUAUUCUUGGCUCAGCACUGUGCUAAGUACUUUUCGUAUACUAAAUUCUACUGCAAUAGUAUUGUUAGGUAACUGCUAUUACCCUCAUUUUAGAGAUCAGGUAACUGAGGCUUAAAAAGAAUAAAAAAUCUACUCAGGCUCACACAGAUAAUCAAUGGUAUAUAUCCAAUUCAAGAUCAGAUGUGUCCUGAUCUAAAGCUUGUGCUCUAAAAUCCAGCUCUACUCUGAGUCCCAUCAUUCAGUCCUUUUGAGAUCAGCAAAGACAGUGGAGUGAAAAGCUACACGCUAGAAUGCAAGUUUGAUACACUAUCAUUACCCAUUGGCAGGAAGCCCAUGGCAAGGAUCCAUUCUUAAAGAGUGUGGUCAGGGAUUUGAACUCUGCCCUGCUCAGUAUGAAAAGCAUAACAGCAGGAAAACCAAACCCUUCUUUCCCCCCUGAUCCAAGUCUUUAGUUCAUAGGCUGCCUAGCAGACUUGGCUGUUGUCCAUCCUUGUGCUUUCUCUUACUGAUAGAGCCGGCCAUCUCAGGAAAUUCAGUAGACCACGUAGAUAUCAAAGUAAGAAACCCACUAAGCCAAUUAUAAGUGGGAGAAGUCAUGAUGUAGACUAGUUGCAUUAAAGCCACCUGUUCUUUGCAUAAUAUACACACAGCUAAUAAUUAUUAGCAAGUAAUUUACCUCUCUAAUUUGAGUGAAGCUGGGAAAAUAUUUGAGCUAUUUAUAAAGAAAUGCUUUCUCCUUUUCAAGUAUUUAUGAAUAAGUACUGAGUUCUAUAGAUUAUAUAGUAAACUCUUUAUCUUCUCCUAUAAGUCUGUUUCUUGUUUUCUGUUUUCUCCUCAGUAAAUGCACCUACUCACCCAAGCUAGAAAUUUGAUUUUUUAAACAAUUUUCCUCUACUUUAGUCCUUAUAUUAAUCAUCAAGGCCCUUUUAGGCACUUCUGAAAUUUCUUGAAAUUUUUUGUUCUUCUUCAUAUCUGCUGUCUUUGGCAUAGAUUGGUCUCAUAAUCAACUGCAUGAAUGAUAUGAUAGCCUGCAUACUAGUUUGUCUGCUUUCAUUUUUUUCAACAUGAUUGGUUUCAAGACAUGUUAGAAUAUGAUUCUGUUCUGUUAAGACCCUUCAUGAGUACCUUAUGGUCUAUAAAGUUCAAACUCCUUUGUCAUGCAUAAUGUUUAAGUCCAUUUAUUCAUUUAAACUUUUAUUAAGCUUCUGUUUACUACCUAGAGGAAAAAUAAUAAAAAAGGAGAAUUUCCUGUCAUUGACAGAAACUACCUAGAGUCUAGUGGAGGACUUGUAUAUAUAAGGACAUAUACAAUAUGUAUAAUAGGUGUAGUUAGAAGUUUGUUUGAGGUAGUAUAAGGGUUUAAUGAGGGAGUGGUUAAUUAAUUCCUGUGGGGUAUAACUGUUAGUUGAUCUUGUAACAUCCAUUCUGUAAUUUUCCAUAAUCCCACAUCAUGCUGCUCUUGGGUUUAGUCACAGAAAAUGUGAUAUAGGUUAAGCCAAAUCGUGUUUUCUUUGUCCCUGGUCUCAGACAAUGGUUUAGGGAUGCACUUAUGAACUUGGCUGGUCAAACAAAAAUGAGUGUUGGGACUUCUGUAGGAGGCUCUGGAUCAGAGAUGCUCUGUUUCUUUCUGGACAAGGAAGCAUGAUAAGCCAGGACUUGCUGGCAGCCAUUUGGAAAAUAAUAUGGGAGCCAGGUCAAGAUGAAACUUGAUUUCGCUUGAAAAAUCAAGCAAAAAGAUGAUAGGAAAUGUAUCUUUAAUGAUGCUGUUGAGCUGGGGGAUUAAGUAUUCUUAAACUCUGCCCUAAUUCUGAACUUUUUAGUUAGGUGAGACUCCUUAUUGUUUGGCCAAGAUUAUAUAUAAUUUUGCCUCCAGUUUUUAAUUCCUCUUCUCUUGGAAACUGUUGGGAACCUUACUUUUUCAGCUUAAAGAAGACCUCGUAUCUGGUCUAGAUUCGUUCCUGUGAGGCCUACUUAAUUCUUGCCAGCUAUGUUCUUAUGUGUUGAAAUGUCUACUUUUUGCUUUAGGAUUCUCAUUACUAAGACCAGUCUUUCUCUCUCUCUCCCUCUCCCUCUCCCACUCCCUCCCUUUAACCACAUGCUCUUUCAGAUGGACAGUGCUGUUUGCGCUUCCUUAAAAUCAAUUCUUCACACUUUAUCUUUGGGAAACUACCCCUCUCUUAUUCUCAGUCUGUAAAAUGUUGGUAUCUGUGACUGUAGCCUAUGAGUCUAGGAGAGCUAAUUAGUGGCUGAUGAGCUCACUGUGUUUCUCUGGUUCCAAAUAUUAGGUUAGCAGGGGAUCUGUGGCCACUCCUGGUCAAUAUGAAUGAAUAAGCACCCUCCCUGGUGUAUCACUCAGGGCCCAGUCAAGAAAGAUUAAUUGAUAACUUGAUAAUUAUAAUAAUUUGAUAGUAAAAAUAUAAUUUGAAAAGGAAAAUUUACUAUAAAAGAUUGUUAAUGAUAAAAAGAGGUAGAAAAGAAAUCUAAAGCACAUCCUAGGGCUGAAGGAGGAUAUCUAAGGAAGAAACAAACUUGGCAGGUGGGAAACUCUCACCAAGGCCAGGAUUCAGGCCCCACUGGAGAGGAUGUGAUUGUAGACACUAGAUGGUGGAGAGGUUCCUUAGGUUGCUCAGACCAGAGCUGGCUCAAAGUUGGUGGAACAUGGCUGGUAAGCAGAGAACCACCAGUUGGGAGUGCUCCUGAAAUCACCAGGAAGCUGCCUAUAGGAGUUGCUGUGGAACCUGCUGUAAAUCAAGCUGGAGUAGAGUGGAGGUAGGGUUUUAGGGCCCAAUGAAGACACCGGGGAGCUGUCACCAGAAAGCUGAUAGCAAGUGAGCUAUGGCACGUAUAGAACUCACCCCGAGGAAGCCUGCUCCGUCACUCCCAUAGCUUGCCUGGAAGCUCUUCAAUAUGAGUUUGUUCUAAGGAUCUCACUGCUGGGAAGCCACCUAAGGAGGUGAGUUUUACUGAGUGUCUCACAUGCUAGCACAGCACAAUAGCAGCAAGAAAAAACCAAGCAUACCGGAACUAGGAAGAGAAUCCCUUUACUUUUCCAGGGUCCCUCCAGCACCUUCUACUGACAAAGCUUAACAUCAUUCUAGCUGGAAAGGGGAAAAUGUUCCGAUUAUCACAAGAAGGGCAAUGAAGCCUGGCUUUGUAGGUAAGAGGCUAUAAUGAAUUGCUGUCACAUUUGGAAUUUUUAUUAUAAUAUGAAAAAAGAGAGGCUCCCUGAUGUCUACUGAUGAUCACUCAGAGCAAAAUGGUGGCUAUUUUACCAACAGGAGGGAAAAGUUCACCUUAGAAUAAAACCAGCACAGAAAAAAACAGAGCUGAGAGAUGAGGAAAGGCAAGUCGUUACAACAUUGUUUGAGUGCCUGGAUCUAUCCAUACCUUCAAUCCACAUUGAGGAGGAGCAAAAUAUGUGACCCUAAAAUAUGUCAUUUGGCACGUGGAUUAUUUUGAGCUGAAGGCAAUCAAGAAUCAGCAGACUCAAGGAAAACUUUUAUCUUCUCCUUUACCCGAAAGAAGAACUAUUAUCAAAAAUAACUUUUUAUCUGAAAGACCUAUCUGUAUAGAAGGGCGAAUAUCUAAUUAUCAAACAUUUGCUCUUCUUACCAUUCUGUGAAUUGCCCUCUUCCUCUUUGAAGCCCCAGGCUUCUAUCCUAUUCCUUAGCUCAGGACAGCAUAUCAGCCUUGAUUGACCUACUUGUCAUGAGGUCUUAUAUUCUUAUGGGAUUCCCAUAGGUGCGUAAUUAAGUUUUUUUUUCUGUUAAUCUAUCAUGUCAAUUUAAUUAAUAGACCAGUCAAAAUAGCCUAGAAGAAAAGAACAGAAAAGUUUUUCUCCCCUGCAACAUACACUUGGACUUUUUAGUUAUAAAGCUAAUGAGUUUUUCCCCUAACUAAACCAGUUUGAGCUGGACUUAAGUGGCUUACAGUCUAAAGUGUGCUGAUCAAAUCUUCAAUAAAUCCUUAAGCAUUCAGAUCAGUUCAGUGUUGUCUUUUUAAUCUGCAUAUAUCGUCUCAAUUUUUGAUAUUGGUUCCUGAAUACAUCAUCCCAGAUACCGUAGUGACCUAGAAUCUCCACAUUUGCACAGCCCCAUAAACUUCUUAUGGAACAUCCUCAGGCUUCCUGUGUCAUGCCCUUUGCAGGUGUAUCUCAGGCUUUUAUGGUUCAAUCAUUUCAUGUGCAAUAUCAUAUUAAUUACAGUGGAACAAACGAGAUUGAAAGGGGUUGAGUGACAGUGAUAGGGGGAAAGUUCUUAAUGAGAGAAUCUAGGUUUGAGAGGCUUGGUAUUUGUUUUCCAGAUUUGGGGAAAUUCCUGGCUGGAUAAAGUCUUUCCAGAGAGCCAAGAUGCUCAACAAAACCCAAAGUAUUACCUGCCCUUUUCUGAACUGAAUGAUUUCAAUGUGAAAGACGAAUGAAUAGCUGUAAUAUGGUCCCAUAAACUUAAAUGGUCACAAUUUAAGAAAUUGAAUUGGUUUUGAUGGGUACUUUUUCCUACUGCUGUUGAAAGGUAAUUUGCCUGAAAGUCAAAGACAAGGGGAGAGAAUUUUGUUGAACACACAGAGGAAUGGUUUCCAGGUGAACCAUUAGCUCUGCUCCACGAUCUCAGUGCCCUCAACCGAGGCUGAAGUUGUAUCAAUAGCAAUCACUCAUGUAAUCUGACAGGGGAGGGAUUGCCUGAUGGAGAAUAUUUCCAAACACACAAUAGCCCAGAAAUUGCUUUCAAAUAACCUGGCACUGUUCCCAGAGAUGACAGCCUCUAUUAUAUAUAUCUUUGUAAGAAAAGAUUUCUGCAUUUCUCAGAUUCCACAAAUUUAGUCCAAGUUAGAAGGUUUGCAGCAGAACAGAACUUCAUGUUGGAAGAGGCAAUAGAAUUGAAAUACUCAUCUCAUUGAUCUUGGCAACUUUCAACCUUCUCCAGCUUAUUCUACACGAAACUUUGGCCUGACAUAGGUUUUGAAUGUGGAAAAGGAGAAUGAAAAGGAGAAAAUGGAAGGAAUGUGGGGGAAGUGAAGAAGAGCCAUUGGAGGAUCUUCAUUCAUGGUCAGGAACUUGACACAAUGAUGAUUGGGGAAUCAAGUUCUUCUUCCCUGAUAUUCCUCUCCUUUCAGAGAGAGAAUCAGGGUGUGAAUUGAAGCUAAAUAUUCACCUUGAGGAUUCUGAGUCACCAGGGUAGAUUAUUGGGAGUCCUCUUUCAUAAAGGACCAUAGAUCUUCUAGGAUAAACAGUGCAUAUUCCAAGAUGUGAGCCCAGAGCUCUCUAGUUGGAAGAUAAGUGGUGCCCCAACCUAUCAGUAAACAAAGUUUACAUUUUCUCAGAGGGCAGAAAAUUCCUCCUGAGGGAAGAGUGUUCUAAAAGAUACAGAUAGCACACCUGAAUGUUGUGCUUGCUGGUGGUUCACUAAGCACAGGCCCUUGGGGAGCUUAGUCUAACUUCUUAGAAAAGGAUGAUUGUUACACUGGAUUUUUAAGACAAUCAGUUGGUCUUUGGAAGACCCAAGAGAGCCAUAAUCAUUGACAAGUGUACCCACUUACAGUAGGUCAGAAAAACCCUGCUCACUUUAUUUGUAAUAUCCAAAAACUAGGAGAACCCCAAGUGUCUAUUUUUGGAUGUAUGGAUAAAAUUGUGAAUAUCCUUCUAAUGGAAUACUAUUCAGCAACAAAAACAAAUGAGAGAGGGAUACAUGUAACAAUACGGAGGAACUUCCAAAUAAUUAUGCUGAUUACACAGAAACGCAAACAAAUCUAUAGUGACAGAAAACAGUUCAAUAAUUUCUUGAAUAUUUGGGGAGGGUGAGGAAGAUGGGAAGGAGGAAUUACAAAGGGGCACGAGGAAAUUUUGGGUGAUGAUGCGUAUGCUCACUGUCCUGAUUGUGGUGAUUGCUUUAUAUAUAUACCUGUCAAACAUAUCCAAUUAUACACUUUGAAUUUUGUACGCUAAUUAUGCCUCAGGAAAGCUGUUAAAUAUAUAAACAAACAACUCUGCUCACCUAGUGGCCAGAGUAAUUACAUUUGUCUUUAAGACCUGGAAAAGAAAACUGCCUCCUGACUUCAGGAUGCGUUUCAUGGAGAUGAUGAGAACAUCACAGUGGCACAUUGGUUGUGGAAUAGGCACGGGCAAGGUACAGUAGCUUCCAAGGUGGUCAGAGCUACUGGAUUUGGAAUUGUAAUGAUGAGAUGAAGCAAGAGUUUAGAGAUAAAUCAAUUUAACUUUGUUGUUGACAUGCAAGUCCUUGAUUAUAGCUAAGACUUGAAUUGAAGUCAGGGAUCAGAAAAGAUUACAUGAUACAUACUACAAAUGUGGACUUGUCACUUACAGCCAUGAAACUGGGAUGUUCUGAAGAGACUUGAAAGCAGGAAGAUCAAUCUCAGUGGCCUGGACCAAUACCUCAAUUUGUUCCAGUUCAGUCCACAGACAACAAGGCCUACUUGUUUUCUUUUUCAUUUUAUUGAGAAGGCAUUUACCAACUGGGAUUGUAUGGGCUCAGGAUUGAUAAAACAAAUGAAGGGAAAAUAUGCCAGUUUCCAUACUAUGCUGUGCAUACAAGGAAUAAGAGUUCUUUGUGGCUCAAGAGGACUGAACAUAGAGUGAAUGGAUAAAAACUAUUGGGUGAUAGCACUUGAUUUAAUAUGAAGAAGUUAUUAAGAAUAUGGGUAAUAUUUUACAAAUGAAAUGGGCUGCUUAGUGAGACAGUAAUCUCCGUGUCAACAAGAGUAUUGGAUCUUAAGCUAAUUAUAGAUAUUAUUUCUAUAGUUUGUGCUCCCUUAGCUAAAUAAUACAAUCUGUAUUAUGCAGACCACUAUUAGUUAUAACAUGACAACUAACUAUAUGGGCAUAGAAAAAAUAUUGCAGGAAGCAGAGUAAUACAUAGAUUUUUAGUGGCUGCUUACUUAAUUUGCGUUACAUUCCCUUGUUUGAUAUAUGCAAUUGUAAAUUGUGUUACAAUUUUGUAAAGUGUUGUAAUAUAAUUUGAAUUAUGUUCAUUUUGUAAACAGUGUGCAGUGUAGGUGAUAUGGAAGUAUAUCUGUGGAUUAAUUGCCUUUAUGACAUGAUUUUUUUAUAAAGUAAGAUUUCUUAUGAUUAAAACUCUAACAACUAUAGUGUCACAGCCCCUGUAGAAGGGAUGAUCACACUGGACAAUAUUAGACUAGAUCCUCUAAGGUGAAUGGCAAUUCUUCAGUUGUCUGAUUCUAAUAAUUGUAGAAAAGUUCAUCGAUGGGGAUAGAGUUCCUUCUGCUGGGAACAUUCCCCUCAUCCACCCCCACCCUUUGCCUGAAUUCCUCCUUCUUAUUACUUAGGUCCCAACUCAGAACCUCUGGGAGGACAUUUUGGAGAGAAAGGAUCAGUAGUUUGUUUUCAGCCAUGUUACAAUGUUAGAUACUUUUCUGACACUCAAAGAAAGAGGUGAGUUGGAGGCUGAGUGUCAAACGAGGGAAGAGAGAGCAUUGUACUGAGGGUACCUAUUUCCAUGAGAUUUCGAUAAAACAAGCAAGAAAGAAUGUGGAUAGAAGAGGGAGGAGAACACAGGGAGCACCCUGGGCCCCUUUGACAUUUAGAGAUCCAAUAGAGAAGACAAGAUGCAAUAGCCAGAGAGGUAGGAGAAAUUCAGAUGAGCACCGUGCGACAAGCGCCUAGAGAAUUUCCAAAAGGAGGAAAGGCUACACCACCUGAGUUUUGUGCUCUUUUUAUCAAAAAUGUAUAACUGAAUACGAUCAUGGAGAAACAUCAGACAAACUCAAAUUGAGGGACAGUCAGCAAGAUAAUAAGUGGCCUGGAGUCUUCAAAUAUAUCCAGGACAUGUCUGACAAGAAAGAAGUGAGAAAUUGCUCCAGAUUAAAAAGAAUAAAGGGACAUCAUGCAUAAUGCAAUGGAUCUUGGAUUGGACCCUGGUAUAAAAAUAAUAUAGGGCCGCCUGGGUGGUCCAGCCAGUUGAAUGUCCGACUCUUGAUUUUGGUUCAGGUCAUGGUUCCAGGGUCAUUGAAUGGAACCCCAUACCAGGCUCUGCACUGAGCAUGGAGCCUGCCUGAGAUUCUCUCUUCUCUCCUUCUGCCCCUCUCCCCAGCUUGCGCUCUUGCUCUCUCUCUCUAAAAACAAAUAUAUAUGUGUAUAUAUAUAUAUAAUAUAUAUGUGUAUAUAUGUAUUUAUAAAUAAGUUUAUAAAAUAUAUAAAUAUGUAAGAUAAAAAUAUAUAAAUAUAUAAAAUAACAAAUAUAUAUAUAUAUAUAUAUAAGAUUAUUGGAACAACUGGCAAAAUUUGGGUAAGGUCUGUAAAUUUGAUAAUAUUAUUUAUAUCAAUAUUAACAUCCUGAUCUUGAUAACUCUAAUGCAGUUGGGUAAGAGUGUCUUUGGGUGUUAAAGGUAAAAGAGCCUAAUGUUCAGAAUAUGUUCUCAAAUAGUUCAGAAAAAAUACCAUCUAUCUAUCUAGUAUCUAUCUAAUCUGUCUUCUUUCUUUCUAUCUAUCUAUCUAUCUAUCAUUAAUCUAUAUAGAUAAAGUAAAUGUAAAAUUUUAAUUUGGAGAAAUAUGAGUGAAAUAUAGUAAUAAUUGUACUAUCUUUACAACUUCUUUUUAUCUAAAAUUAUUUCAAACUACAAAUUUCAUUAAAAAUUUGAAAAACAGAGGAGAAAAUGAAAAUACAAACAUGUCCCUGUCAAUUAUCAUAGACUAUCAUUAUUAUAGACCAUUCAGUGUAUCAUUAUUAUAGACUGAAAAAUGUGGCCUUUCCUGACCCCUAACACCUACCAUCUGUUGUACAUAUGUCUUUUAACCUCACACGUGACUUUCGAUCUUCUUUCUGCUUCAGAAAUUGAGAACAAGUUCUCCAGACUCAAGGUGCCUUAGACCAUUUUUUUCCCAUAGAAGGAUUUCUAAUGAUCCCGGAUACAAUUAAGCCCUGAUGAAAGAGUACUUCAGUAUGGUUUAUGGGACUAUUCUGCUCGACAUAUAAGUCUAUUAAAAUGACUUUUCUCAUGAAGAGAUUCUUUGAUACAUUAGAACAACAAUGAUAUUAUUGUCACUCAACCAUUUCAUUCCAAGAGCCAGAGCUAUAUAUAAGUCAUAAGAAUGCAUUCAUAAGAGAUGGAAAACACAGCUUUGUGAGAUUGACAAGAAGACGUUUUAGUAUUAGAACAGGCAUGCUUUCUGAAGAGCAUUUCAGAAAUUGGGGUCAAGAAAAUGGCAGCUGGGUCUGUAGGAUAUUCACAUCAGCACUUUUUCCCUUUAACAUUUGCAGUUUUACAGAGGCCAAAAAUUAUAUCUUUGUUUCCCUCAGAUUUUCUUGACUUCUCAGACAUCUGAGUGAUUCCUUAGUUGUCGCUCACCAACAAAGACUUAACAUUUACCAGAGGACUUGAGAGCAAAUUCCUCAGGCCUUCAAACCAUGGAUGAUUAGAAAAGCCAGCAUUUAGUAAUUAAACCAUGAAAUGAAUGUGAACCACGGAAUAUUUGGAAGGUUAUUGCAGAAUGUCCCCAGCAGCUGUCAAGCAUGAAGGACUUCUCCUAGAAGAGAAGCUCUUCAGUCUUCAAGAUGUCCAGGGGACCCCUCUAGCUAUGUUACAGUUUUUCUCUAGCUGGAUAUUUUCUCAUACUUCUUAAUAGCUAAUAUAAAUCACAAAAUUUCAUAAUGGUAGACAGGCAUCCUAGGGUUGGCUUAAUAUGUAUCAUCUAGCAAUUUGCAACACAACCUACUGGGUAACUCUGCAUAAGUUAUUUUGAUCAGUUUAUGCAGCAUAAUGAUAAUGGCUUUCGUAAAUUGCUUGUUUUUCCUUUUGUGUGAUAGAUUUACUGCUCCAGAUUCUGAGGGAGCUCAGAGACUCAUAACUUUGGAGAAAUAUCAAGCCUUCACCCCUCUGUGUUAAAACAUGAAAGUUUUCAUGAAUCAAGAAAAUGUACUCUGUAUUUCCAGAGCUUACACAAUCACAGGACACCCAUCAAAAUAUCUGUCUGCUGAGAGUAUUUACUAGUAUCUGCUUUUGUAGCAGCAUUUCCUGAUGGACCCACGUUGAAUGAUAUUGUUUUAUUCAUGAAGGGUAAUUCUUUCUUCAGUUGGAUUUAUGAUCAGGCUUUUUCUAGAUUGGUACUCUUCCAUGAACUCAGAACACAUGCACCAAAGUUGAAGAAAAAAAUAAAUGAGAACAACAGUAUGGUAGGCCCUUUUUUAACCUUACCCAAGGUGAAUAAAGUAUUCUAUCUUUAUUCUACUUUCUGCAAAGUAUCAGUAAAUAGUCAGCAAAUAGUCCCUGGGUACCAUCAUGAGCAAUCCAAUGGGGGUAAUCAAAAAUAACAUAUUUUGCUAGGUUUGCCACCCUGUCAUAUCUCUGUUAUUUUUGAUAAGGAAGAACAGCCUCAUUGGCUGGUCUAAUGGAUGUAGAUGUUAACACCUGCAUAAAAAUACACCAGUAUUCCUAUCUUUGUUGUCAUAACUUUCAGUGACUUUUCUUUAAAGGUAUAGCUUUGGCAGGUAAAAACCUCCAAUCAAGGCUCUUGGUCUGGUGACCAGGAAAUGAUAAAGAGAGAUGAAAUUAAAAAUGGGUAGCUACGGGGUGCCUGGGUGGCUCAGUCAGUUAAGUGUCUGACUUCGGCUCAGGUCAUGAUCUCGUGGUUCAUGCUUGGGAUUCUGUCUUCCUUUCUCUGUCCCUCCCCUGCUUGCUCUCUAUCGCUCUCUCAAAACAAAACAAAACAAAACAAAACAAAACAAAACACUUAAAUGAUUAAGAACACAGGUAGCUCCUACUAACAUGACACUUCUUUGUCAGCUUAGACUUUUGAAGUUGAAAGGAGCUUUAAAAGUUGCCCGAGGAAAUUUAUUUCUUGUUCUUGGAUUUCUUCCUCAAUUAAUAAUUGUCCUGACUUUGGAUUGUUUGGGUUGAUAUGGCUUGAGAUUGGAAACUCACUACCUCUUAAGAAACCUCUGUAAAAAACACCUUUUCUUAUUAAAAUUUUUUUUCUUAUAUUCAGGGAAAUAAUUUUAUUAUUGGUUUCUUUCUAUGUGUCAAGCAUAGUUUAAUUUACACCCUUUGACUCAAUUCCUAGGUUUUGGUGCCAUACAAAACAAGUCCAAUUCCUUUGUAUGUGAGACAUAUUUAAGCACCUGAGGCUGGUAAUGACAUUCCUUUAUUCAGGUUAAAUACCUUCCAUUUUCAACUGGACUUCAUAGUUUCAAGUUUUCUCCUCAUCAUUUUACCAGUUAACCAUUUACUUGUGACCCAGAUCCAGACAAUGUCCCUUGUUUUACAUACUCUAUUUCCAUGCACAUGCCCUAAGAUGUAAUUAGUUCCUGUUUUUGGCAGCUGCACUAUAUUGUUGAUUUAUUUUAAUUAGUGUUUAUCAAGGAACUACUUUUUACCAAGUACUGUUAUGUGUUAAAGAUAAAAUAAAAGAGCGACAUGGCCCUUGACAUGGAAUCUGUAUUUGUAUAAGGUCAACAAACAGGAUGAAUACAUGACUAAGGGUGAUACAAUGUACUUCAUAUUCUAUUAGAAACAUCAAAAUGCUCUGGGAGCAUAGGGGAAGACUUGAUUACUUCUACACGGCUGUGUUGCUGCUGCUGGUAAAAUCAGAAGGCUUAUCUAAGAGCAACUGUUGAGCUAGAUUAUAAGCAUGCCAAUAAAACAGCAGAUGAGUUGGAAUUCUGGAAUAUUCUAGGAAGAUACAAGAUAGAGGCCAAGCAGAAGUGUAAAAAUAUGAGCUUUGUUUCAACAAUGGCUAGUAGAGCAAGAGUCAAGGCCAAGGACAGAGAGGAAAGUGGUAGAAAUGGAAGGUAGAAAUGAGCUGAAGCAACGACUUCUAAAGAAAAGCGUUUAGAGUUUGUAUGAUGGGUCCUCACCUCUCCAAGUGUGGUUUGUGGGUUAGCAGUAACAUCACUGCCUGGGAGCUUGUUAGAAAUGCAGAAUCUCAGAACUGCAUCUUAAGAAGGCUGCCAGGUGGCUUGUGUCCACACUGAAGUUUGAGAAACAUUGCUACAGGUGACAGAGAGCUCUUUAUGUGGAGUUUGGGGCAGAGAAAGAGGUGAAAAGGAAAGGUGUAUGGUUUGGGCACCAGUGUUAUCUCAGUAAGUCCUCACAAGGAACUUCUAUUACCUUCUUUGCAUAGAGAGGAAAGCUGACACCUGAGGAGGUUAAUUAUAUCAUCCAACAUCAUGAUUCAAUAAACAGCAAAGCAAGAAUUCAGACUCUGGUAUUUCUAGCUCCAAAGAAUGUCUGGCUCCAUUUUGAGACUAAUGGUGAUUUCAUCAGCAUUGAGUUUUAGAAAGUUAAAUGUGAGAGAGUCCAUGAAGGGAGCUGAGUCUGCCUUUCAGCUGGAAACUACCCUUUUUGCUCUUGUAAGGACUGAAUGAGAUAGAUGGUUUAGGGAAUGAGUGACAUAUGGCAGGGAGAUGGGAUCUGUUAUUUUUAGUUAUCAAGCCCUAGAGUCUUUGCUACACUCCUCUUUCCAGGCUAUGAUUAUGUAACCAAGUGUCUUCAUGGUCUCUUCCCCCUCUAAUAUCCAAAUAUCAACCAUCCGAGCUGUCUUCCUGAGUGGGGAAAGUCUGGUCUUUUAUUUUAUCCCCACUCCAAGCAUAUCUGGGAAUGGCAAAGGCUUAUUUACAUGUGUGAUGAUCCCUGUGUGGCUUUCACUUUUCAAGUUUACCAGCCUUCUUUUUGAUAACUCUUUCCUCAUUAGUUUCACUCUAACAGUGGAGAUGAACAUCUCUAUUAAUUCCCCAAAGGACUAUUAAGGUCAGUGUUUGGGCACAAGAGUAGGAAACAACAAUGCAGAAAAUAUAAUUGGAUCCUGAACAGCUUUUAAAGUCUCUUUUAGUAUCCUCCUCUCUUUCCUUAGCUUCGGUUUGCUCUGAUGUUUCAGGGACCAACCUCACUUUUCUCCACGUGGGUGUUUUGAUCAUUUCUACUCUGCCUUGAAGGCAGGCUCGCAGCUUCUUCCUGGGCUCAAUAAGAAGGAGAAAGGGAUCUUGACUUCCCCAAUUCCAGACUUGCUUUUUUUCCUUAUUCCCCAAGAUUCACGAAAGUGGAAAUGUUCAUUUCCUUUAGAAGAAAUAUCAGUCUCUAUCUGAAGGGUGUAAAUUGGCCUCCAUGUCUAAAUUAGGCAAUUGCAGUACUCAACAUUUUAUUUCCUGUUUGGCUACUGUAAGCUAAAAUAACACCAUGAGGGGGAUACCAAACUAUGAAGAUAGCUCCCCUUAGCCCUCUAGCACUUUAUUCCUACUGAUGUGGCUUGGUAUCAUAAUUAGUAAGAAGCUACUUUUCAAACACACCCACACAGUAAGAACAAAUAGCUUCCUUACAAAGGAAAGUCUGAAGUCUAAACAACAUUUAAUAUCGUGAGCUGAAGUAGGCCUUCCCAAGGACAGUAAGUAGAUAGUACAUCUGCAUAACUCAGUGGGCUUAGUAAGCCCAUCCUACACUGUCCAUUAUGACUGGCACAUCGCAUCACUCUUAGAAGAGGUACAUUUAUUAGUAGGUAUGUGUGUGUGUAGAAGUAACCACAAGGUUAUAGAAAAAAUAAAUCCAUCCAACUGCUAUAUUCUUUGACACCAUCUUGACACAGUAAACCACAGAAACUGGCAGUAUCUAAACACUGAUUCAUAGUUCCUGCUUGAUUUAAAGGUCACUCUAUAUUAAGGACUGGAGGAAUGGUCUCCAAAGAGGGUACACGUACCCCAGAGACAAAGUUUACAUCUACCUUGAAAGCAAAAACUUCCUGUAAUCCAUCUAAUGAUACAAUAAGCUUCGACAGUUUUAAUAUAUUUCCCUCCAUGAACUACCCUAUUACUUGUGCUCUGUUGUUUGCCUUGGAUACAAAAUGAAGACUUUGCCUUCACACCUAUGAAAAUUAUUCAAGGUAUGUUUAAGCCACAGAAUAAGUUUUUUAUGUCCUUACUGGAUGAAGUCUAUAUUUUCAGUUUGGAGUUUGAAGGAGUAGGAAGAAAGAAAGAACUGACACUUAUAUUGAGUUUUAUGCUUUUGAGGACACACAUCCUUAUGUACCUAGAAGCUGUGGGCUUAGCCUCUAAAAAUGCACUCGCAGGUAACAUUAAGAAUAUAAUUUGACCUGAUAUAUUCUUUCAAACCUUUCAUGGAUCCCUCCAUGAAGACUUUUGAUGUAAGAUUAUUUUAGAAAAAUGGGGACAAUAUCUUGGUACCGUUAAGUGGAAGAAAAUGUUAAUACCUUUAAGGUAGCGGAAAACUUUAUACCUCUAAAGAGUAAUCUCGGCAUCAUGUUAUUGCUUCAGUCUGAGGUAAAAGAUGGACUUCAUCUGUUACCAUGAUGGUUUUCCUGAGGCCAACCAAGUUGUUGACCAGAUUUAUCCCUGCAGUAGUUAAUGCUGGAUGCCUGCGGCUUGAAUGGCUUUUGAAAGUGGGUAGGAGCUAUAAAUCAAUGGUUGUAUAUUGCUAGUUUCUGUGGCUUAGUCUUCAAAAUGGAGCCAAGAACAAUAGCAAUUUAAAGGAUUUAGUUUCUUAGUGAUCAGGUAUUUCCUUUUCUUUCACACCCACACUUACUCACUGAGUGAUGGUGUGUGACAAUCACUCCUGCUCUUUGAACACUUGCAAAGUAUUUGAUCACUGUAACUUACAGAGUUGCUUUAAUGGAACCUUCCUCAUGACUUUUCUUCUGGUAACGGGACAAUUGCUGAGUGUUCUCUAAAACCUAAUGGGGAAAGAGAGAGUGAGUGACAGAGAGAGAAUAUCACGUAAAUGAGUCAACCAGGAUCGUUGAUUUGUGGAUAGUGGGAGAUUCUGUGUUUCUCAAAGUAAGGGAGGGAGGGCAGGGCAGGAUUAACAUCAUUUAUGUUUUUGACACACAGGCAAAACAACAGUAGAUCUUAUUGCUUAAGUAGUGUGGAUUUCAGCAGGUGCUUCUCUGAGGUGUAGGUUUUUUUUGAAACAAAAUUUUAAGAAUGUCAAAGGGCACUUAACUCAGUCAAAUGUCACUUCAUUUCAAAUCUUGGAAAUUCCAGUAGUACAUGUCUCUGAUAUAGAAACACUGGUGUGUAAAUUAUUCAGAUAAGGUCUCAAAUGUUAAAUGUUAAUGCAAAAUAAUGGCUUGAGUUCCAGGGAAACGAAAACUUGUGUGAUCGGGUCCAAGUCACUAGCAUGUCUAACUAGGAUCAUUCUUUUUCUCUCCUUGCUCCCUAUGGUCCAUUCUCCACAAAGAAGGCAAGAAAACAUUGCAAAAAAAACCCAAAAAACAAAAAACUUAAGACUUUAACAUUUAUUCAUUUGUGAGAAACAGAGACAGAGUGUGAGCAGGGGAGGGGCCAAGAGAGAGGGAGUCACAGAAUCGAAGCAGGCUCCAGGCUCUGAACUGUCAGCACAGAGCCCAACUCAGGGCUGGAACUCACAGACUGUGAGAUCAUACCUGAGCUGAAGUUGGACGCUCAAUCUAACUGAGCCACCCAGGUGCCCUUGUCUUAUUUUCUCUUAUUAUAUUUAUAAUAUAAUCAUAUAUAUAUAUAUACAUAUGUAUGUAUAUAUAUUACUUAAAAAUAUGAAAUUGAUUAAUUUUGUAUACAUAUUUAUCUUCUACUUCCUCAGUAGGAUGUAAUCUUCCCAAGGGCAAAGACUUUCUUUUAUCCAGAAUUAUAUCCCCAAGUUUUAAACAGUGCCUGCUGUAGAAAUAAGUACUCAAAACAGCUGUUUGGAUUACUGAAUGAAUGAAAGGGCUAGCUCUCACUGGGAUUCCACUUUGCUGGAUCUCAUGAUGAAAUACAGAAUGUUAGAGAAAAAAAUAUAUAUUUCUCAGACUCAUUGGGCCUCCCUUCAACACAAUCUCAAACCUGUCUCUUUUGAGAGCAAACGAAGAGAGAUCCCAUGGAAGACAUAGUCUGUGAUAUUUGGGACUCCUAUCACCAUUGGAGGGAGGGCAGGGAGAAGCUUCAAAAGCCAAUGACAAAUACAGAAAUGGAAAGAAACCUGGAACAUAGCAGUUCAUCUCUCUGAACAUAGCACCCGAUUAAGUCACUUUAAUGGUUCUAUUCCUUGGGCAGAGAAGGCCUUUGAGCUCAGAAUAUAAACUCAAGUCCCAUUCUUGCUAAACAUAAACCCCUGCAAACCUGGACAACGUCCAGACUCCUGGGUCUAUUUUAUCAUCUGUGAAGUGGGAAUACUAAUAAAAAGAGCCAAUAAUUUAAUUGAGUCUUUAUUCCAAGCCCUAUGUAAAUAUUUGCAUGUAUUAUUUUAUUUAGUUCUCACAAUUGUCCCCAUGAUAUGGGUGUUAUUUCUAUAACCACCCCCACCUCCACAUCACAGAUGAACAUCAAGAGGCAUUUGGUAAUUAUGGAAGGGCUAUAACAGAGCUGGGAUUGAGGCUUCAUGUCACUUUGAACUAGAAACUUAGGAUCUUUAAAAAAAUUUUUUUAACUUUUUUUUUUUUUUUUGAAGGAGAGAGAGAUAGAGUGUGAGUGAGAGAUAGAGAAGGGCAGAGAGGGAGACACAGAAUCUGAAGCAGGCUCCAGGCUCCGAGCCAUCAGCAUAGAGCCCAACGUGGGACUUGAACUCACAAACUUGAGAUCAUGAUGUGAGCUGAAAUGAGACACUUAACUGACUGAGCCACCCAGGCGCCCCAAGAAACUUAGGAUCUUAACAGAUAGGCUAUGUGGUUUCACCCUUUUAACACAGUUGGAAAAACAAAAUGAAAUAAAUAUGUAGCUCUAACUGAAUUUAUCAUACACUCUUGCAAUUGUCAUAAACACAUAGAGCUUCCGCCAUUAGACUGGGAGAAUUUCAAGGUUACAAACAUGCUUUUUAUUUACCUCUGUGUCUCCAGGAUCAAGUGUAGAGCUCAUAAAAUUAAAUAAGUUCCCUCUCCCUUCUCACUCCCUUCCUUGCUUUCUUUCUCCUCUAGUGAUAGAACUUACAGGUGCCUUACCCCACAGGGUCAUAACAAAGGUGUUCCUGUGCAAGGAGAAGCGGAUCACGGCCAAGGCACGCUCCCCAGCUUUCCCUCUUCCAACCAGCUGGAAAUCCACACUGCCGCCCUGCUUCCUGCAGAUGCAGCUUUGCCAAGUACUUUGCACAAUUCCCGGGCAGGUUAGGGUGAGUGCUAUGUUUAGAGCACAACUAUAAGUCUGUAGGAGUUUUAAAAUUCUAGGAAGUAUCAUUAGCUCUGUCUGAAGCACAGGGCUUGGCUUCAUUAACUUCAUAAAGUACAGGAACAAGGCUUCUGGUCACAUAUUGUAUUUAGAUUCAGUGGUGGUAAUUUCACAGAGGGUUGGGGGGAAAGCCUCUGUGAUUCAGGAGCAGGAGGCGGGAAUUCAACUAAUACUACAGGUUACACAAAGAAAACAGAUUUAUUUAUUUAUUUAUUUAUUUAGUGCCACCCACUGUUGAAGUUAUGGGGGAAAUCAUUUAGUUCCUACUUGGUUCUGAUCAGGGUCCCAAAGGAAAUGUAAACAGCUGUUCUCAGCUGUGUGAUUUUUGUUUAUUAGUGUUUUAAGUUUAUGUUUGUGCAAUAUGUAAUUUCCCUUUGGAUCCUUUUAUGCAUGUAGAUAGUAAAUAAUAAUGUGACAGUCCACACACCAGAGUGUAUUAAUCAUUCUUGGCAGGUAGAGAGCUGCUACUCGUUUUUCAAAUAGAGGGAAUAAAAGUUCAAGAACAUUAAAUGGCAUGCCUUGGAUCAGUGGAUGGGACAGUCAUGAUCAAGACUGAAGAGCAAAGGCCAAACCUGAAAACUUCCUCAUUAACUCAGUAAUCAGAAUCUGAUUAUGUAGAAGCACAUUGGAAAGAAAACAAGAAAGCAGGCUGAUACUUCAAACUAAAAAUAAGCUUGGGGAGUUUUUAAUUGUUUACCUUGGCUGUCCUCUGCCCUUUAAAUGACCUUGACUGGAUAGCCAUUUGGGGAUCCUUAAGGCUGAUCUCCUUUUCCCUAAGCAAACAAGACUUUCACUGCAGUUAGAGGAAGUUGAAUAUUGGAAGGGAAAGUUGUGCCACACCAUCUGCACUUUCGCUAAUUUCACUUAGUCUGUAAAUGGCCAUCACUUGAGAAAUGAAAAUAGAGUCACCCUAUUAUGCAAAGGUACAAAGUGUAGGAGCAGGCAAAUAGAUUCACUUCUUGAUGCUGAGAUGAGCUUUUGUGCUUUAAAACUCUUAAAAUUCCACAAAUAAAUAUGGGGCAAGCCUACCCAUUCAUGGCACUCUGCACAGACUCAGAGGGCUGGAUGGAGUGCUGGAGAUUACCCAGAAUCAUGCUCCAUUUAACAGAUGAGGAAACUAAGACUCCAGAAGCACAACUGUGACUGGAACCCAGCUCGCUUAGUUAAUAGUAUUCUUCUCAAGUCCUAUCCACCAUUUCUCAGGGCCACCAUCACUGAUUUCCAAGCCUCACAGAAAGUCAUUCAACUAGCAUAUUACAAAGCGCAGAUUUUUGGACUCAGUCCAUUGGUCUUUCCAUUUUUGUGCUGGACUCGCUUUUGUAACAAAUAAGAAAAUUGUGCCAUUGUACCUUCUGGUCUCUAGACCUUAUUCUGCAAAAUGACAUCCUAAUUUCUGUUCUUAGAGUGAAAAUAUUUCAUAGAAAUAAUGGGUUGAACCACAGAACCACAGAAAGAGUCCCAAGGCAUUCUGCUGAUGGAAUUGAUUUUUCAGAGCUGUCUCCUUUGUUCUGAAAGGAAACAAGUUGGCAAUCUCACUGGAAAUGAGGACCACAUUAAUUAUUUAUUAUAAGUUAUAACCAUUUACACAGAGAUAUAACAAAAGCAGGUUUGGACAUGUUUAUUAAUAAUCCCAAAGCUAUUUUUUAGUACUUGACUUAUUAUAAUUCCAUGACCAACGUAGGAAAUCGAAGAAAAAUGACUUCCCUUCAAGAUACAUCGGGAAAAUGUUAUUUUAAAAUAUCUUCCAAUUCUGAAAGAUAACACAGUGUUUUAUUUUAAAUUUAUAUCUAGAGCUCUCUGGCGUUUUCUUGGUAAUUGUUCUUUAGUGGCAACAACUAAAAUCUUAAAGAAAAGAAAGCACAGGGAGAUUCCUGAAAGAAAAGACACAGGAAGUUGUUUCUAAAAAUGGAGCUGCUUUUCUGUUGCAAGGGGGGACAUAAUUGAUAGUCCCCAACUUUUUUUUUUACAGUUCUGAUGAACUGAGUUCAGUGCAGAAAGUAAGCCCCACUCUACAAGGACCAUGGGGCCAUUACCAAGUAGGGAAAAAUUGGCCAGAAUGGUUGUGAGGGCAAGAAGGGCCAGGGCUAAGUUGAUCUAGUGGUAUUAGGGCACACAAAGGAAUUUCUUGAUAACCGAUGCUCUUAUUUUCAAAAGUAGUGUGAGGUGGCAUAUAAUAAAAGACACAGGGAUGUUAAGGGAACGAAAUGAGGAACAGAAAGUUGAGCUUCCUGUAGAAAGGCUCUUUAUGAAUAGACCAUCCUGCUGUCAGUUACUGAGACAGUCGCCCCCACCUGGUCCCUCUGAUAACUCUGAAGAGAGCUCUUGAUUCUUCUCAGUGAACGACACCCAUUGUUCAUCCCAGAACAGGAAAGCCUUCUUUCUUUGCCUCCGCCACUUUAUUUUUAAUUCAAGGUACAAUUUAUAUGUGAAUCGUACAGUGAAAUAUACAGGUCGAAAGUAUAGCAUCUGAUGAGCUUUGACAAAUGGAUGCAUCCCUUUGACCCAGACCCCAAUGAAAGUAUAGAACAUUUCCAGAAAAUUCUGUUGUGCCUGCUGUCUCCUAAGAAAUAAAUUGUUGAUUUUAAAAAUAAUUCGUUUGUUUUCCUCGGUGCCCUGGCAAUGUUUCUGUGGCCUCCUUUGUCAGAUAACUGGGAAUCGAGACUGUAUGAAACCAUACUGCUUUCAGUGGCCUUGGCUAAUUGAAUGUUUAGUGAAUUUCUCGGUGUAAUUAUCACUGAUGAUAUUAAAUCAACUCUGCAAAUAAGGUGACAUGGUCAGAAUGCCUAGGUCUUCAAUAUAAAACCGUCAUUUCACUUUCUGUAGGAGAAUGUGUCCGUGUGUAUUAAAUAGAAUGGUCCCUAAUGCCAAAGGUGUUCCCUGGCUGUAGGGCAGGAAAUAUUGGGAGCUGCCUUUUUAUGACUCUCCUGCUGGUUAAGCAAAUUCUCAUAUCUCUCAAAGGAGUGAACUUAAUUUCAGGACGAAUAAGCACUGGGGAAAUAAAGUUUCACAUGGGUAAGCAGGCAGAAUUCUGUGUGUUUUUAUAGCUGGCUCUUGAAAAGUCUUUGAGCUGGAUAUAUCAUUCACACCACGGAGGAGACUGGUCACAUGACAGGCUUGCUGAAAGUUGCUCAACCAGGGUUUUGUUGAGAGGCUCCCAAAUGCUGGCCUCUGGUAGAACCUAUGUUGACUUUAUGGCAAGCAGUUAUUUAAUGUGCUUAGUCUUUGGGGACCAAAGCAAUAUGUAGACACUGCCUACAAAAUUCCACUCCUACCACCAGGCCUGUGAAAAUGCUUGUUAGGGAAAGAGAGAGAUGGAGAUUUAUCCUGCUUUUUAAAAUUAAAGAUGCCUUUCCUAUACUAGGGCCUCCUGAGAAACAUGAACUUUCUUUAACUGCAGUUUGUGCCAGCAGCAAAAGUACCAGCAGGGGAGCUGUUUAGCUGAAACUGGGUUGAGGCGCUAUAGUUUAUUUUAGAUUAAUGGGCUUCUCUGGUUUCAUUCCCAAAGUCCCUACCUGACGGAUGUUGACAUUUCUCCAGUCCUGGAACAAUUAUACCUGCCCUGGGUCUAUAGCAUGAUUCUACCUGCAGAUGUUGUCAUUCAUUUUUCUGGGGCCUACGAGUUGUUUUCUUAAGGAUAAAAGAUGUAGGAUCAAAGGAUGAUGGAGUCCCACUGGGAGACUGGUCUGACUAAAAUUUGUUGGUAUAUUUGUAGAAACCCCUUGCAUAACAUCAGGAGUACAUUCAUACUCAAAUCAUGCAGCUAAAAAAGACUUAACCCUGCUGAUGGAGUUUAGGAAGGAUGCAGUUAUGAAGCUUUGAGGAUGUGUUGGCAUUAUUCAUGAGGCACCAUGGUAUAGGAACGCAUACUGGACUGAGAGCUUGGAGGCCAGCAUUCUCGUCUCAACUUCACCGCUAAAUUGAUGAGUCACUUGCCAAGUAGGGGGAUUAGAAAGAGAUACACGCUGAAGUCUUCUUCAGCUAUAAAAUUUUAGGUAGUAUCAAAUCAGAUGCAGUUUUAUGGGAAUGAAAUUAAAAUUUCAAGAUUGGCAAUAAUGAUGACCUGAAACUCACAUAAAAAUUUCCAUCAGCAAAUCUUUAACAGAAUGUGACUUCUGCUUUUUGCAGUGAUGGAGUAGUUUAUACAGGCUGAUCAUUCUGCUUAGACACCAAAAAAAAACAAAAACAAAAACAAAAAAACAAAAAAAAAACCCUAGGUAAAAUAAAAACAAAAUAAAGCAAAUCCCCCUCAGGCGUUUGAAGGCCUUGGAGAGCAACAAUGAUUUUGAAGAAAAAAAUGCAUCAUGGUGAGCAAUGUUCCUAGCUACUUUUCUCCUUGAGGCAUUAACGCAUUUGUAAGAGGUGUGGGGCGAAGAAGCCAAGUAGAAGAGAACUCAAGCCUCUGUAGUCUCACCAGCUAUAGGAGACAAAGAGUGGUGUUCAUGUUUAUCAAGCUAGCUGGAACUUGAGGGUCUAACAUCUCAGAGAAAAGGGAACUCCAGUGAAGUGAUUCUAAAAUCCUACACAGGUUUUACGCUCAAAGCAUUUGCAAAAUCAUAAAAUACAUGAAGUGAAAGCAUACAUGAAAACAGGGAGCAGAGCUAGAAACUAAAAUGUUAAUUAAGCACAGUUUUUUAGUAAGUUCAUGAUGCUGGGGAGACCGAAUUUGAAUUUCAGGGCACUUCAAAGGAGGUUCCUGGUGAACCUGAGAGGCUUCGGAGGCUAUAUCCUAGGAGUAAGUAAAAAAUUAGAAAUAGAUCAGCCCUUACAGCAAACAGAAGCUCAGGCUUUAGUUGUCUUAAUUCUUGAUUGGAUCAUGGUGAUCUGGCCCCUAAACUACCUAUCAGAAGGAAAUAAAAUUUUCUCUGAGAAAAAUAACAUGAAUAACAUGAGACAGAUCUUUUGCAGUAUUUCAUUCACAAUGCCCAGCAUUCAUUUAAAAUUACCACAUUUACCAGGAGAUAGGGCAAAAUAAAUGUAAACUGAGAAGAAGAAAAGAAUAGUCAAGAGAAACAGGCCCAUAGGUGAUCCAUAUAUCAAAAUUGCUAGUCAUGGAAUUUAAAAUAAAUGUAAUUUUCUUUGGAAUAUUAAUGAAAAAUAUUCUAAAUCGUAGUGAUCAUUGUGCAACUAUAUGAAUAUAGUUCAUGUAACCCAUUGUAUUUUACAUUUUAAAUGGGUGAACUGUACUAUAUAAAGUUGGCCAAACAAAUCCUAAAAAAUAAUCCACCAGAAAAACUCAACAAUACUAAAUUUGUAUAACAUCAAAAUAUAUAGGGCAAAAAUUAACAAAGUGUUGAAAAGAAAUACAGAAAUUCACAAUCAUCGAGGCAGAUUACAACACAAUCCUCAGUAACUAAUUGAAUAAACAGAUAAACAAAAAGUAAAAAUAAAAAGUUGAUUUAUUAAUUGACCUAACGAUCACUGCAAUCAAUAAAUGCAAUGUCCACAUUUAGGUACAGAAUGAAAAUUAAGCAAAAUUGAUCAUAAGCUGCGUCAUAAAAGCAAGUCUCGACCAGUUUGAGAGGAUUAAAAUCUAGCAGGUUCUAUUCUCUGCCCAGGAUGGAAUUAAGCUGGAAAAAAAUUUAUUGAAAGCUAAUUAGAAAUCCUACUAGCUGUAAAAGAUGUAAAUCCUACUAGAUAAAAGAUGUAAAAACAAAUGUAAAUAACCAAUGGUUCAAAAACAUCACAAUGCAAAUUAGAAAAUAUUUUAAGCUCAAUGGAAAAGAAAAUAUUUUACAUCAAACCUUUUAGAAUGUAUGCAAAGCCUCAUUUACAGAAUUUAAAGCCAUAAUUGGAAAUCUUAGAAAUUAAGGAAGUGCUAAAAGUUAAUGACCCAAGUAUCUAGUUCAAGUAAUUAGAAAAAACAAAAUUAGAAAAGAAAGUAGAAAGAAGAAAAUAAUAAACAUAAGAAAAUUGAUAAAAUUAAUAAAGUAGAAAACCAAGACAUAAUAGAUGUGAUCAACAAUCAAAAGUUGGUUAUUUGGAAACAUUUUUACAGGUGGUAAAAUUCUGGGGCACCUGGGUGGCUCAGUUGAUUAAGCUUCUCACUCUUGAUUUUGGCUCAGGUCAUGAUUUCACGGUUUAUGAGAUCAAGUCCUGCAUUGGACUCUGUGCUGCAGCAUGGACCCUACUUGGGAUUCUCUCUCCCUCUCCUUCUGCUCCUUGUCUGCUCGCAUGCACAUGCACAAGCUCAUGCUCUCUCCCUCUCUCUCAAAAUAAAUAAGCUUUUUUUUUUUUUUUUAAUUUUUUUUUUCAACGUUUAUUUAUUUUUGGUACAGAGAGAGAUAGAGCAUGAACGGGGGAGGGGCAGAGAGAGAGUGGGACACAGAAUCGGAAACAGGCUCCAGGCUCCGAGCCAUCACCCCAGAGCCUGACGCGGGGCUCGAACUCACAGACCGCGAGAUCGUGACCUGGCUGAAGUCGGACGCUUAACCGACUGCGCCACCCAGGCGCCCCUAAGCAUUUUUUUUAAAGUGGUAAAAUUCUGACUUGAUGGAUUAAAAGAAAGUAGUGAGAAAUAAAAUCACAAUAUAAUGAAUGAGAAGCAUCAUCAUAGAUCCUAUAAACAACAAAGAGAUAAUAAAAGAAUUUUAUGAGCUACAUUAUUCCAAUGUAUUUUAAACCUUAUAUUGAAUGAACAGUUUUUUGUGUGAAAAACAAACUACCCAAAAUGACACAAGGGAUAGAUAAUUUGAAUAGGAUGAUGUUUAUUAAAGUAAUAAAAUUCAUAAUGUAAAAAAAUUCAGCAAAGAAAACUCAGAGACAAGUGGCUUUUCUGGCAAUUUUUUCCCCAAACAUUAAAGGAGAAAAAUAUCAGCCUUACUAACUGUGGAAAACAAGGAACAUUUUCCAGCUUGUUUUACAAGGCCAGCAAAACUCCGAUGGAAUUUUUGACAAGAAAGGGCCACUAUAAGUCAGUCUUUCUCAUGAUCAUUGGCAGAAAAACCCUAAACAAAACAUUUGAAAAGAAAGCCCAUCGAUGUAUAAAAUUUAUAGUAUCACAACCAUAUUGGGUUCAUAUCAGAAAAGUAGGGGUAAUCAACAUUUAAAAGAUCAAUCAAUUCAAACUCAUACAUUAACAAGACAAAGAAGAAAAUGAUAUGAUUAUCUCAGUAGAUGCAGAGAAAGCAUUGAUAAAAUCCAGUAUAUAUUCAUGAUUAAAAAAUUACUUUUUAGUGAUUUUGAGUGGAAGAGAACUUUUUCAAUGUAUGUAUAUAUAAACCUAUAUAUAUAACAAAGAAAAUACUUAAUGGUGAAAUGUUGAAAGUAGCACUGCUAAUAUUAGGAUGGAGGCUAGGAAGGUCAUUAUCAUGGUGAUAAUGUUGCUGCAGUAGGCAACGUGCAACAUGGCCCCUAGGAAUCUCAGAAUCCUGGUGUUCAUGCUUUUAUGUCAUCCUCUCCCCUUCAGUAAAGGCUGUAUUCACUUAUAAGAAAUUAAAUAUGGCAGAAGCAAUAAGAUGUUAUUCUGAGAUUCUUUAUUAAAAAAUUGUCACUUCUACUUACUCGCUCUCAUUGUCUUAAGUCACUCUCCAUGAGAGAAGCCAUCUGCCAUGACCUGACACAGACCUGUGAAGAUGCCCAAAGUGAGGGAGCUAGACCUGCUAACAUGUGAGCUGGGUUGGAAAUGAAUCACCUCCUCCAUACUUCUCCCUUUGAGUCUUCAAUUAAACCACAGCCUCUGCCUAGUGCUUUGACCACAGUUUCAUAAAACACCUUAAACCAGAGGCCCUCAGAUAAGUUUCAUCCACAUACAUGGCCUGUGAAAUAAUAUUUUUUGUUUGAAGCUACUAAGUGUAGAGGUAAUUUGUUAUGGAGUAAUAGAUAACUACUAUAACUACCAUUCAGCAUUAUCUUGUUGGCCUUAGAAUGCUCCAUAAGAAAAGAUAUUAUCAUUGAGUAUAUAGAAAAUAAGAUAAAUUUAUUAUACUUAGAGGUUACAAGAUCAAUAUACAAAAAUAAUUGUAUUAUAUUCAUAUAGAUAUAAAGUAUGUAUUAGCAAUAAACAAUUUAAAAAUAAAAUAUAAAACAUCAAAAAAGCACUGAUAAUAAAGAGAUUAAUAAAUUGAACCUCAUGAAUGUUAAGAAUUUCUAUUUAUCAAAAGAUAUCAUUAAAAGAUUGAAAGUCAGGCCAUAGGUUAGGAGAAUAUAUUUUAGAACAUAUGUUCAAAAAAAUAAACUUAUUCAGAAUAUAUUAAGAAUACAUACUAAUCAAAAGCAAAAAGAAUCCACCAUUUAAAAAUGGACAAAAUCCUGAAUUGGCAUUUCACAAAAAGAAGGAUAUCCAAAUAGCCAAUAAACAUAUGGGAAUUGCUCAACAUCAGUAGUCAUCAGAAAAAUACAAAGCAAAAGUCCAGUGAGAUACCAUUCAUUAUAUACCAAACAGAAAGGCCUAAAAAAAGAAAUUGUAACACUAAAUGUCAGUGACAGUAUGGAAAAAUUAGACUCUCAUCUAUCAUUAGUGACAGUGUAAAUUGAUACAAUCGCUUUAGGAAACUAUUGGCAGUGUCUGUCAAGGCUAUAUUUAUGCCUUCUUUCCCACAUAGCAAUUCAAUUUUUAAGUAUAUACCCCAAAAAGGCAUACAUAUGUGCAUCAAAGCACAUGUAAAAGAAUGUCCACAGAAGCAUUGUAAGUAAGUGAUACAAACUAAAAGCAAUACAUAGGAAUGGGUAAAUAAAUUGUGAUCUGUUUACACAAUGGAAUACUAUACAGUAAAGAAAAUGAGUAAUUCUUGCUAUAAGAAAUAACAGGAAUGAAUUUCAAAGUCAUUAUAUAGACUUAAACUAUUUAAAAAAGAGUACAUUACUGGUAUCCCAUUUUUAAAAGUGCAAAGCCAGCCCAAAUGAGUCUGCAGUGUUAGAAUUCACAAUAGUUGUAUUCUCUGGUUAGUAAUGACUUGGCCAGGGGAUGGGGGGGUGGGGUGCAGGGGACAGAUGUGAAGGAGGAUGCUAUAAUAUUCUUUUUUGUUUGUUUGUUUUUUUGUUCUGGGUGGUGGUUCUACAAGUGAGUUCAUUCUCUGAAAGCUCAUUGAGCUCUACUGAUUCAUGUUAUACUUCAGUAAAAUGUGGACUAAAAAAUUCUUCAAUGUCAUCCUUUUUCUUGUUGGGGUAAAUUCAUGAAGCCCAAGGCAGGGGCACCACACUCAGAAUGCACAGUGUCCAGCAGGUAAAAUGAAGACAGUAAGUACGCAUGGAGGGAAUUCUGGCAAAGUGGAGCCUGCCCACCAGCUCCGGCUAAAUGGCCAGUCACUGCAGCUUGGUCCACGGUGGACUUUUGGGAAUACAGGCCAGCCUGAUAUACCUCUCAGUUUUUCAAGGGACUUCAGAAAUUCACAUUUGUUUAUGAAAUCUUCUGACUUUUAAUGUUGGCAUCAAAUUAGAAUUCCUUUUUUUUUUUUAAUUUUCUUAAGUUCAUUUAUUUUUGAGAGAAACAGACAGAGCAUAAGCAGGGAAAGGUUAGAGAAGAGAAGGAGACACGGAAUCGGAAGCAGGCUCCAGGCCCAGAGCUGUCAGCCCAGAGUCCCACACGGGGCUCAAACUCCCAAGCCGCGAGAUCAUGACCUGAGCUGAAGUCGGACGCUUAUCCCACUGAACCACUCAGGCUCCCCAAAUUAGAAUUCUUUAAAACACUACAGAGAGAGAGAAGAGAAGAGGGGCUAGUACAAGGCUGUGGGGCCCUCUGACAUUUAUGCUACUCAUAGAAAAAAGAAGGGCCAAACAGAUGAUUUACAAGGAGCAGCCAGUAGAAUGAGAAAAAAACAAGGUAGGUGUAGACUCACAGAAGCCCACAGACACAAUAGGAGGAGAGAAAAUCCAAGUACAGUCUUGGGUCAGUGACCACUCUAUCAGAUGGAGCCCCCUACGCCUUUAACACUCCUGUAACACCGUAGCCUCCAGCCUCUUCCUCCGGCUAUGUCAUGCUGCUCUUUCCUUUGUUCAUGACAUUACAGGCACACUGGCCUUCCUCCAGAGUCCCAGGCAAACCCAGCAGGCUCUCACCACUAGGGCUUUGACCUUACUGUUGCUUCUACUUGGAAAACAUCCCUCCUGGCCUCUCACUUGGUUUGCUCCUCAUCCUAUAUUUGUCUCAACUUAAAUACCACUCCUCACAAAGGCCUUCCCGGUGGACUCCCUAAAGCAGACCCUACUCUAGGCCCUGUAUCAUUUCAGUCUGUUUAAUCUCCCUCAGCACUUACUUCAGUGAAGUUUCACUGUGUACAUUUUUGUUUGAUCUUUUAUCAUCUGUCCCUCAGGGAGAACAGAGCUCCAUGAGGGCAAGGAUGUUUUUGAUUGUGUCCAAUGCUGAUCCUAGCAUCUGGGGAAGUGUCUGUUUUGUUUGAAUAAGUAAAUAAGUUGGAGGAAGAAAGCUAAUUGAGUUCACAAUAGGAAACCUUGAUGGCAAUAUUAAAACAGUCAUAUAUCCUUAUUUGUCCUAUUUUAUUAGCCUGCUAGUCCUGCCAUAACAAAAUACCACAAUUUCUCACUCUUCUGUAACCUGGAAGUUUAAGAUCAAGGUGUCAACAGGUUUGAUUUUUUUUUUUUUUUCCUGAGGCCUCUUUCCUUGACCUGCAGAUGGCCGCCUUCUUGCUGUGCCCUCACAUGGCCUCUCCUCUGUGCUUGAGUAUCUCUGGUGUCUCUCCCUCUUCUUAUGAAAACAAGUCCAGUCCUAUUGGAAUAGGGCCCCGUCCUUAUGACCUAAUUUAAUCUUAAAGGUCCUUAAAAGACCCUCUCUCCAAAUACAGUUUCACUGGGGAAUUUGGAGGGGCAGGGCACAAUUGUGUUCAUAACACCUGUGUUUAUCUCUGGCAUGUCCACUCUCCCAUUGUGUGAGUCUGUGAUUCGAUUCCACAGUGUGACUGAGUGCCAUUUGUAUUCUCCUUGAAUCAGCUGAGGAGAGGGUGGGUAGAGCCCUUAUUUAGUUACAUAUAAAUGACUUUGUCUAGACUCAAGAGGACAGAAUCCAGAGGACAGAAAUGGGUAGUAUGCUCUUUUCUUUAAAAAAUAUUCUACCAGGAAACUUGGAUAUUUCCAUCAUCCACUCCAGAACAUUAGCUUUCUUCCUCCAGAGAUGUGGAAAUUCAAGCGUGAAAUUCUGUUAUUAAAGACCUCAUUGUUUCUCUUCAAAUAGCACAUAAGGCCUAGAAAUACAGUUUAAUUAUUUAAAGCGACCAUGUUAUAAGUAAUGAUUGACUACUACAUUGCUUAGGUAGGGAAAAAAAUCAUGUUGGCGCAUUUAAUUUUGUUGAGUAGUGAGCAGUGACUUCUUUUUGAUUAAUGGCUUCACAUUAAGUGCUUCUCAUUUUGCUCUCUGAAACAAUACAGAUUAGGUACAAUUAGAAUAACCUUCACCUUUCAACCUGGAGAGCUCUCCUGGUCUGCUUGUAUCUUCACUAUUUAACUGGAAAACUGCAUUAAACAAAGGAAUGACACUGAAAGAAACAAGACCACUGUGAUUUUCCCAGGGAUUCUUGGGUAAAAACAGAAAUGACUGAUGCGUUUUCCUCUUGCCCCCAUGCAAGGAUUGAUCAUUAAAUGGAGGUUCCCGGCAUUCCCUGAAGCUGCCUAUUAUAAUUAAUGUACCAGCCUUAUGGGACACCCAACCAUGUGCGGAGUACAACAAACUAACAGUGCCUAGGCUGGCUCUGGGGUGGAGAUUUUAAGCUGUGUUCCACUGGGGCUUCUCAGUGUGUUGUCUAGAAAGUGCGUUGAACCAAGUCUGAGACUCGCUGUGAAAAACGUGUUUUGUUUGUUUGUUUUUUAAGAAAAGCACUGAGUUGAUUUUUGCAGAAGCUUUUUCCUAUCAGACUAUUGAGUGAGAACACUUUGAUCCUAGCAAGUAAUAAAAACACGGGUGCUUCAAUUCCUGCUGACACACCGAUAUCCUCCCAAUUGGGGGAUCCCAAGCACCCUUGUGAGAUGAAGUUCAUCUGGUGUUUGGGGGCUUUCCUGCUGCAGUCUGACCUUUGUCAUACUUUGAACACAACCAGAUCUAAAAAAGGCAAUUUGUUGAGAAGCAGAAUGUAACUUUGCUCCUUUCGAGUUGGUUUUCAGCCGCCACACAGCUGUGGUCUUCUAUCGGAAGGUGGGGAUUUCUUCACAAACAGGACAAUCAGGAAGCCAGGCAGCAGAGUCUGUCCACAUAUGAGUAGAAUCCUCUGUGACCUUUACAGGCCAGGAUCUACCUGAACUGAGUCUGUUUUACCCCCAGGUCAGCCAUAACUUGAAGCUCAGUUUUUCAACCGUUUUCACAGAUACCCUCCUCAAAAACACUGGGGAGUCUACAGAAAACUCCGGAGGUUUUCUGCUUACCCUUUUUUCCUUCUACCCCAAGAAAGCAAUACAAAUUCCUUUUCUGGUCCUUUAUUCCCUUGUCAUUUCAUCGAGAACCAAAGGUAACAUCAGAAACAGGGUGAGGGUAGGUGGGCUUAUCAAAGAAUGUCUUCAAUACAGUACCUCUCUUUCCAAGAAUACUUCUGAUGAAUACAAUUUUGGCUGAUCCUGGGAUAAAUCUUUAUUCCCUUGGAGUCAUCUAAAAUUUGAAGGUAGCAGAGAAAUCAUGGGCCUUAGAAUGACACCUAUCUGGCUUCAAAUUUUAGGUUUCUGGCCUGUCAAAAUCUGCUGUCCUCUAUAACUCAGCGCAACCAAUAGUAAAAUGAUGUGUCAAUAAGGUAAGAUACAAAGCUCCCAGAAAAGGCUGGCAGUUUCCUUAUUUCUUUUCUCUUCUUUACAUCAUGUGUAGUACCUAGCUUAGCUCCCGGAGCCUGAGACAUGUUUACGUGUUUGAUAAGUUGAAACCAGUUUAAAGUAAGCUCUGGAAGAGGGACUUCUUUAUCCUGGAAGGACUUUGCAGGCCAGGAAGAGCAGUCUCUUAUGAGAAGAGAGCAAAUGUGAGUUUUACAUGGCUGUUUUAGCGUUGUUUUUUAGAAAUACAAUGUCUGCCGUGCUAGGUCCAGUUAUGAAUACAUAAGAAUCUGUUGCUUCUGAACGUAGGGCAGUAACCUUAGCAUCAUUAUUUUGCAGAGAGUGAAAUAUUUUGAAAAAAACAUCUGAGACCUGUUAAGAAACUGAAGAAUCUACAGCUGCUGGUGUGGGAAAGAGACAUAAAGAGGUAUAGUGAGAAAUUCACAUUAAGGUUAUUAUUUUGGGUCAGAAGAAAAUAAAAUACCUGUCUCACCUCAGUCCCUGCUCUAAGUAUGUUCUCUCUAGAGAAGCACGGCAUCCCCCAAAUUCCAUCCCACACUGGAGUAAGUUCUAUAGUUAACUCCUUCCCGCCUUCAUGUUUAAAAGCUUAUUGUAGAGUGCUCCCUAUUGUAAAAUCCAAUAAAAACAAAGGGCUUGUUUUCCAUCUAGGCUGUUUUCCUAACUGAGUUUCUCCCAAUGAGUUUAAUGAGCAUUGAUUCAAUUUAUAGGCGGUGCGAGUGCUUCAAUAGCCCCCAAGCCUAUAACACCACGAGAGGCAAAUACCCUUAUUCCAGGUGGUAAAGUGUAAAUGCAUCCUCUAUCCCACCUGUUUUCAUUUAAUCUUGGAUUGUUUGCCUCAUUUUGUUCUUCCCACAUGAAAUGGAAAUGCCUGGUGCUGCCGAGAGAAGCCAACCAAAUUGUAACAUUUCAACUUUUAAAUCUCUCCUGAGUCAGUUAGAGAAUAAAUUCAAAGUUCUUUUUUUCCCAUUUGGAAUUGGAUCUGGUCCUCCCACCCCCCCCAUCCCAUGAUAGGGGAACAUACACCGCAUUUUGCAUUUUAAAGUUUCUGACCUCUUCUUUGUCUAGGAAAAGGCAAUGUAGAAGAUUAUUUAUAUGAUAAUUUUUCUUUCCUCAAGCUUUUCCAACUCUAGCCUAAAGAUUGUCCUUCCACUUCCCCUCCUCCCCCACCCCAAUCCAUACCAAGAAUUUCAAAAGGAAACAGUGAGAUGAAGAAAAAUGGUGGUGGAAACUUAGAAAUAGAACCCAGAGUCUCCCGAGGACUCUGGGUUUCCCUGGCCCUGCCAAUCUAGUCCCUUUUCUAUUGAGCAGACAGAUCUUUUCAAGGAAAUGAGCCAGACUUCCCUAUCCAAAAGACACUUCUGAUACAGUCCCAGCAUUGACAGAUGUGGAUCAGAUAGGAGGAAGAAAGGGAAAAGAACAAUUUGUAAAAGCGAAUGAGGAAGGAAAAAGCGGGUGGACAGCUAUUCAGCUUUUCUUUUCCCAGUUUUUUCCCCCAGAAGUCUUUUUCACACGGUCUGCUGGGAGGUAGUUUUAAUUUUUCCCACUUAAUACUAUUUCCAUUAUAUGGUGAAAUGUUAACUUUAGAAGAAUUGAGUAACUUGCCCCAAAUCACAUGCUCAUUAGGUGGUAGAUGGAUUUCAAUCUGAGUCUGCUGUUUCCAUGACAAUCUCCUCUUUUUUGGGUAGAAUGAAGAAAGGAUGAAAAGAUAAAGGAGAAAAAGGACUCUGAAGAACAAUAUAGUGCUAUCAGAUAAUUACUUAUAUUUGAGAUAUUUAAUACUUUAAAAAAUGUGUGUGUAUGUAUAGGAUCAAAAAAUUGGAAAAUCCUGUAAGAUAUAAAAGAAGAAAUAGAAAUGAUCUCUCAUCUCAGUACCUACAAACACUGUUAAUUUCUGGUACAUUUCCUUCCAGGGCUUAAAAUUUUCUUUGGUAUUUGCCAUAUGUUUAUAUAUACCUCGAAGUCAUCUAUUUUUAAUCUGCUUUCUUCACUUAAUAUAUUAUGAACAUUUUCUUUGUCUACAUAUACUCUUCUAUAAUAUGAUUUUAAAUAACUGAGUAGUUUAUUCAAUUAAAAAAAAAGGCUUCAUUGAACAUGUCCUAUAUGUCCCAGGCACCAUAAUAGGAAAUAGGGAUUCACAAUAAAUGCGUCAAUGAAUAAAGCAAACGUUAUCCUGGACCUCAGAAAGUUGAUAAGAGGAGGCAGAUAAUAAACAAUGAACAAAUAAACAAGGCAAAUACAGAAUGUGAUUUACAAAGCAUGAUGAAGAAAAUGCAUAUAAGAAUAUAAUAAAAAUAACUAUUUUGGUUAGGAAAAUCAGAGAGCAUUUGUGAAGCUGUGAUAUUGGAGUUGAGAAUUAAAGAACAAAAAGGAAGUUUAAAAAAUAAACUAAGAAAUUACAUUUCAAGCAAAGGAACAGCAGUCCACAGGGCCCAGCAAGUAAAAAGACUUUGGACAGGAGAGAUCUUGCUCUGCUCAAAAAGAAAGUCUGUGCUGCUGGAAUAAUCAUGGGAGGAAAGGAGAGCUGAAAGUUGUAAUCAAGGAGGAGAGCAUAUGGGGUCUUGCAGCCCCAGAGUUUGGAUUUUAUUCAAAGCACAACUGAGAAGCAAUGCAGCAUUGCCCAGCAAGGAUAGCCCUGAUUUGAUGAAGGUUUAAUAGGCAUGAAUUUCUCAGUCACAGACUCAGGCAUGUAAAAAAAGAAUUUAUUUCUUAACCCAGUUUAAUUUCUGACUUUUAGCCUCAAGCUUGCCCGGCAGCAAUCAAAUCUAUCCAUUUGCAGGUUUCUCUCAGUUCAAUCCAGUGAUUUUCUAGUAAAUCCUCAAGUAUAAUCACAUUCUACCCUUCAUCUCCUUUUUCUAGGAAGAAGAGGGUAUGGACAUGUGUUAAGAUGUGUGUGUGUGCGCACGUGUGUGCGUGUGUGUAUGUGUGUGUGCUCAAGCGUGUGCAUAUGCAUGGGUGUGUGUGAUGGCAUGUGAUAGUGGUGGUGAUGUGGGAAACAAAGGCAACUGGAAAAUUAAAUUUCCUUACAAUUUAUAGCCCAUUGACAAGUCCUUGUGACAGAAAGUGACAUUCUUCCUGGGGCCCAACUGUUAACGCUUUGCUAGAGGAAAAACAAGUGGUUAACUGAUAGAGAUCACAGUCCUGCAAGACCUCACUCUAUCAGUUUGCAACUGUCUUGAUGAUUUAUAAGAAAAAAGCAAUUUUUGUGUUUUUUUAUUAUUAUAAUUUUUUUUUAAUCAAUAGCUAGGCCUCCAGGGUCCUGUGAGUCUUCUUUAGCAUAUAAAAGUCCUUUUGGAAACUUCCCCUUGCCUUCACCUCCCCCAACUCCCAAGUAUAUCAUUAGUCACUCCUCACAGCCCCAGUGCAGCUCUUUCUGUCCAUGGGUCCUGUCCCCUGCUUUAACAAAACCACCUUUUUGCACUAAAGAUGUCUUAAGAAUUCUUUCCUGGCCGUUGGCUCUGAACCCCUACAUUUUCCACAUCAGUGGAUUAUUGCUUCUUUGCUGGCCUUCGCUGCUGAUAUAACUGGUCCAGUCCUCAGGCACAUUUCCCAUCCAUGUGGAUAUCUGUGAAUUGUCCAGUUGUUAACCAAUGCUCCCAUUAAUAUUAUCAGCGUAAAAUUUCAACUUUGAAAGUCUUCUCUUAUAGAAAGUAUAUUUUUGUGAUUUAAAUUACUUUCCUUUGACAUGCUUAUUUCCACUUUAAUACCACACCUUUAAUUAUUGUCUCAUAUAUGUUUCAUAUUUAGCUGGGAAGUUUCUUUUCAGUAUUCCUUGUUUAUUCAAAAUAUCCUUGGCAAGUAUCAUCCCUAUAUUUUUAAAAAUGAAUUUUUAUCAUUAAUCUGCCACGUUUUUGUUUUUUUGUUUUUUAAUUUUUUUUUUCAACGUUUAUUUAUUUUUGGGACAGAGAGAGACAGAGCAUGAACGGGGGAGGGGCAGAGAGAGAGGGAGACACAGAAUCGGAAACAGGCUCCAGGCUCUGAGCCAUCAGCCCAGAGCCCGACGCGGGGCUCGAACUCACGGACCGCGAGAUCGUGACCUGGCUGAAGUCGGACGCUCAACCGACUGCGCCACCCAGGCGCCCCAUAAUCUGCCACGUUUUUAAUAAGCAAACACCUUGAGUUUUUUUUACAAACUUUGUAUUAAUUUUUACAUUUACUUGGCAAGAAUUUAUUUUCAUUCCAUGUGCAUAACAACCUAUUUUUUCUUAUAAAAUUAUUUUGUAAUAUUUUUUUCUAUGGGGCAUAGUCCUAGAUAUUAAAUGUCUUGUUUUCUGUUGUGAAAGUAUUCAUUUUUCCACCAUGGCUAUUGGUUUCUACAUAUUUACUUUGUCUCUGGACAUUAGUUCCGUAGGAUUUUCUAGCUGAUUUCUCUUCAUUUUUCUAGUCAAAUGAUAGUACCUACAAAUAAUAAUUGUAACCUCUUUUGCAAUUGUUGAACAUCUUAUUUAUACUUCUUGUUUUAUGUUACUGAUUAAAUCUUUCAGAACAAGGUUUAGGGGCGCCUGGGUGGCUCAGUCGGUUGAGCGGCCGACUUCGGCUCAGGUCACGAUCUCGCACUCUGUGAGUUCGAGCCCCGCAUCGGGCUCUGUGCUGACAGCUCAGAGCCUGGAGCCUGUUUCGGAUUCUGUGUCUCCCUCUCUCUCUGACCCUCCCCCGUUCAUGCUCUGUCUCUCCCUGUCUCAAAAAUAAAUAAACGUUAAAAAAAUAAAACAACAACAACAAAAAAAACCCACAAGGUUUAAGAAAAGUUAGUGGCGGGGCACCUGGGUGACUCUGUCGGUUGAGCAUCCAACUUCGGCUCAGGUCAUGGUCUCACAGUUUGUGAGUUCGAGCCCGGCAUCAGGCUCUGUGCUGACAGCCUGUUGGUGCAGAGUCUGCUUCAGAUCCGCUGUCCCCCUCUUUCUGCCCCUCCCCCACUUGCACUCUCCCAAAAAAUAAAUAAAUAUUUUUAAAAAAAAGGAAAGAAAGAAAAGUUAGUGGCAAUAGUCCAAAUUUUUGUCUUUUUCCUUAUUUUAAUGGAAAUGUUUCUUGCAUUUUAUUCUCUUUGUCUAAGUUUAUUUAUUUAUUUUGAGAGAGAGAGAGAACAGGAGAAGAGCAGAGAGAGAGGGAGACAAUCCCAAGCAGGCUCUGCACCACCAGCAUGGAGCUCGAUGUGGGGCUCGAACUAAUGAACAAUGAGAUCAUGACCCGAGCCAAAAUCAGGAGUUGGUUACUUAACUGACUCAGCCACCCAGGUGCCCCCCUCUUGCAUUUUAUUCUUAUACUGUAAACUAGCCUUAGAUUAUCUUUUAACUGUGUAAAUGUUCCUUCUGUUUGUAGUUCGACAUUUUCUGUAUAAUGUAUUCAUAGUCACUGAAUGCCUUUUCAACUUAUUACAUAGUUUUUCAUUUGAUGUGAUAAAUUAUAUCAUUAUAUUUUUUACUGAGAGAUCACAAUACAAGAUUUUUACUUUAUGUCCUACUUGCUCUUGACAUAUCACUUUUUAAUAAACGACUGAAUUUGUCUAUUAUUCAAGAGCUUAGAAAUGAUAUCAAUAAGUUUUAUAUUUUUAUAUUCUAACUUUAUUGAAAUGUAGCAUUUAUAUGAAAAAAUUCACGCAUAUAUUUAUUGUGAAACAAUCACAUGAAAUUUGUUUUUAUUUUAUGUUUUACUUUAUUUUAAAAUGUUAUGUGUUGGUCUUGUCUGUUAGAUUAUAGUCUCUGGAUUAGGCUCAUUAUAUAAAAUGAGCUGUGAAGCUUUCCAUCAUUUUCAGUGAUGGAAAAAGUUUGUAUGAUAUGAAAAUUUUCUGUUGCCUAAUACUUUGAAAUAACUAAUCUAUAAAACCAGCCUGAGCCUACAUCUUUUUUUAUGAAGCUUAUUCUUUGGAACAUUUUCCAUUUCUUCCAUGGCUAUUGUUCCAUAUUUCAUCUGUGUACAAUUUUAUACUAUUUUGUGUAGGAAUUGUUAAUAUAUUUUAUUUUCUUAUUCUUUGAAAGCAAUAUCCAUUUCUCUGGUUAUAUUUUUAAAGUUGAUUUUGUGAAUUUAUGCUUUUCAAUUUCUUUUUGAGAUUACAUUUGCCAGAAAAAUUCAUUGUUUUUCUCGAGAACUUGUUCUUUGAUUUAUGCAAUCUAUUUCUUUCAGUGUAAUUAUUUAUUUUCUGCUUUUGGCUUUAUUAAUUCCUUCCAUUUUAUUAAGUUUAUUUUAUUGUUCUUCAUUAUUAAUUCCCUCCAUUUUAUUAAGUUUAUUUUAUUGUUCUUCAUAUAAUUUCUUGAGUUAAAUUCUUUACUCAUUUGUGUUAUUUUUCUUGUUUAAUAAUGAAAGCAUUUAUAACAAUGAAAUAACUCUGAGAACAUGCAGUGUGUUCUUAUAUGAGUUGUCUGAUUUUUUAUCCUCUUAAAAUCUUGCAAUUGUUCUCUGAAUUAGAGUUCAGGAACCUUGAAGUGUCUAAAUUGGGUUUUAGUGGUCUUUAAACUUAAAAAUAAAAGGUAGAAGCUUACUUCUCUUCCACAUAUUAAGAGUUCCAAGAUGGUCCAUAGCCAGUAAGAUGGUUCUUCACAUGGUUGUCCAAGGUCCCAAGAUUCUUCAAAGGAUUUGCACCAACAUCUUAGCAGAGAGAGAGAGAGAGAGAGAGAGAGAGAGAGAGAGAGAAACACUUUCAGAAAUAUGACUCCAAAGUUCAUCUGAAUUAUAAUUGUUUGUAGUAAAACACUUUGCCCAGGGUAUUUGUUUUAAUUCAUUCUUGUGCACCCAUGUGCAGACACAUAUCAACAGGUAAUUCAAGAAUUACGUGAAUUGGCAUUAGAACAUGAAUUCUUUGCCAAAUUAUAUGGCUACUGAAAAAUAUUGUGCAGUUCAGUUGUGAACUGGAGGCUUCAGUGCUGAACUGUAAGAUAUUUGAGGCCUGUCACAAACACUGCCAAGGAGACAAGAGCUCUUUAAGAGGGACCCUGGAGUGUCUUCCUGAGGUCAACCCACAGAAUGGAGUGGGACCAGCACCGAGUUUUCACUAGCCUAGCGAUGUUAGCAUGGAGGAAAAUAAGGACCACACUGAUAAGUUCGUAUAAACUAAUAUAUAUUUAUUAGAAGGGAGGAACUUAGGGGAGCCUGGGUGGCUCAGUUGGUUGAGCAUCGGACUCUUGGUUUCAGCUUGGGUCAUGAUCUCGCGGUUUCGUACGUUUGAGCCCUGCGUGGGGCUCUGCACAGACAGUGCUAUGGAGACUGCUUGGGAUUCUCUCUCUCUCUCCCUCUUUCUCUGCCCCUCCUCCACUUGUGUUGUCUCUGUCUCUCUCAAAAUAAACAAACUUAAAUUUUUUUAAAGGAGGGAAGAAUGCAAAUGUCCCUUGUUUUUACAACAGUGGCACUGAUGAGUGCUAUUUGUUUGUAGGCUGUUUUUUCUAAAUGUCUUCACUCAGUAAAAUUAGAAGUUUGCAAAUCUUGUGUUGGGUCACCCAUUUUUUAAUUGUUAGUUUUACCUCUCUUUCAUUCCUAAAGCCUGGUAGUCUUAGUAUAAGGGACAUGAUGGUUUUCAAUGUUCAGAUUUGUCAGCCCUUGUUCUGUGUCAUCCAUCCACAAAUGUCUCUUGCAUGUCAUUGAACCCAUUUUUCCCCUCUGACGACAUCUCUUCAAAGAAAUAAUAGCUGCCUCUGGCUUCAUCAAAGGUCCUAUGCAAAUGGAAUACAGGCUCCUCCCAUCUCCUCUGAGCUUGUCCUAGACUGGAGGGCCAUGAAUCCUUGUGCUGCUCCCCUUCCAUGUGCCUGAGAAAUUGACCUAGGACCAGCACUUGCAUCAAUGACAAGAGGUCAGAGGGAAGGGAAAAUACUUAGGAUACAGCUUGUAAAAAUACAAGACAAUUGAAAUAUUACACAAAAUACCUGAGAAAAUUUUUUUCUUUAGAUGUAAAAGCAUGUAUCUUUCCAUUAGAAAGUAAGAUUACUCUCUCUCCUAUUUUAUGACAGCUGCAACAUCUUGGGCAUAUAUGCAGUGAUGGCAGUGAUCCAGGUUUCUGCUCUCCACUCAUAACUCCCAUGAUAUUCUUCUUAUCUUAAGGAGUUAUUUGAUUUCUAACUUUGCAAUAAUAGGCCACAUCCACCCUUUUUAAUUACUGGGUUUUAAAAUAUUUGAUAACUAAGUCCUGGUUUCUGGAUAGUAUGGAAUAAGAAGUCUUUACUCUUGUACUUGUUUUCCUUUUUAAAUCUAUUUAUAUUCACUUUCUUCCUAAAGGUAAGAAAUCAAGUUAUGCCAUAAAGAGCAAGUUAAAUUGUAUUUUUCAUUGUCAUAAAAGGUAACGGUACUGAAUUAUGAGUAUCACACUCACUAAUCUCAAAGUAUUUCAAAAUGGCGGAAUGAUGAGUAUCAUAUUGGCAUCUUGGGAUGUCUGUGGGGGAGAGGGAAAGAGAGAGGAAGAGAGAAUCUAGGGAGAUAAUUCUUUAGUCAUUUUCUGGAUUCCUUUUUUUUUUUUUUUUUGGGUCCAAAAAACCCACACCUAAAUUAUUAUGUCUCUGCUUAGUUUGUAUGUAUGCAUGUAUACAUAAAGCAUUGUACAUAUGUGUCAGGCUUAUUUCAUGCAGGAUGACACUAACAAGGUGAUUUUUGUAGGCAGGGUGCAGUUGGUGGGUGGAAGGAAAGUAGGAGAGGAAGUGUCACAGAAAGGGCUUGUAUGUACCUGCACUCGCCAUCCCCACGUGAUGGCCUCAGUGCUGGGAGAAGGGAGCUUACGUGCCUAUAAAGGGAAUCCAUGCAUAAACAUCCUGAGGCCCUAUGAAAGGCAGGGUGGUAGAGUCUGUUUAGAGUAAAUGAUUUCUCCUGCUUCCUGUGGUCCAGAAGUGGAAGAAAAUAAUCCUUUACAAGAGUCCUCAUCCCUUCUGGGAAACAGUGUUUCCGGUCUGAUCAAGAGAUGAACAGCUUUGAGGACAGAAGCAUAGAGAAGAUGGGCGGAUCCGUUCUUGUGUUGGAAUUUUUGGCAGAGACUACUAAUUAGCGCCCAAAGGCAUUCUUCUCUGUGGCAGAUUGUAUCAUUGCUCUAAAUACUUUCCGUCCCUCCAUCUCAGUUUGGAUUCCCAGAAGGAGACCCUGAAGCAAAAACUCAAGUGCAAGUAGUUUAUUUGGGAAGUGAUCAUAGGAAAUACUAACAUGGAAAUGAAAAUCAAGACAAAAAAUGGACAGAUGCCAAACAAAGGGCAUGUUAUGAAGCAAGUUACUGCUGAGAGCAACUGGAGCUUGAUUUUAUCCCAGUAGAGACCAUGAACUUCAGAGUUGCCCUGAGGGAUGAGAGACCUGGGAUGUUUACUGGAUGAGGUUGCCCAUGGGAGCCGGUGGGAGGAGGCUUUAAUUGCUCAGCAUUAUGGGCCUGUUCUAGACAGGGACAAGGAAGAAUCCAUGCUAGCAACUGGAUGUAAGGCUGAUUUGUACUGAAAUAGCAAGCACUAAGCAAAUAUUCAUAGCGGGCUCACUGUAUCCACUUUACCCUCCUGACUACUUAAUUCAGAAUUAUUUUAUAUGGAAAAGAAGCACAAACUUUAAUCUCUUUAAGGCCACUGGAAUUUUUUAUUUCUAUUACUAAUAUCUGAAUGCGAAUUGAAGCUGAUUUAAUGUAGUCAUAAGACUCAGAGGGGAGUUGGCUCUAGAAAAUGUCCAAGACUUUGGUGAGCAUGGGCAGAGUUUGAUCGGUGUGCAUUCCUCUGGGAAGGCCUAGAUUGAGGCACCAGGUUGAGAUGAGGAGUAUGUACCUCCAUGCCAGGGGAUGCUGCACAGUGGUUUGUGGAUGGGCUAGCAGGAAGGGCCGGGACAGUAAGCGGCUGGCUUAGCUGAUGGUGGCCUGAAACAUCAGCCCUUAGUUCUCCUUAGGCUUGCCUAGGAAUGUCACACAGUACAGCUCUGGUAGGAGUUUGUAUUGUCUGCCAAUCACUAUGAGUGAUCCUUCAGGACGAAGGGGUUAUUCUUCUCAUUAUUUGUAUAGUAAUUCCUCUUGUAAUUAUUUGUGGCAAAAUGUGAGAUGAGGACUCACUUUUUUCAUUAUCUACCUCUUCCUCUUGGUAUUUUACUGUACUUAUGGAGUCAUCUUGAGCACAUUCUACAGAAUUCUGAUGAAAAGCAUGCAAUUCCAUGACAUGGAGAACUUGGUGAUAAUUAGCUUUAUGUUUCUGACAAACAAAGGAGUGCUUGUUCAGCACAGAGAUGGGGCCGAUUUAGGGCAAGUAUGGAUUCCUUUAUCAAUACUGAAGUUCACUUUCCCCUUAGUGAACACAUCCUGUAGCUACUGGCCUCACAGGACUGUGAAAGCAUUAACAAAACCAUUGAAACAUAAAAUAGGCCUUCUUUUUCCAGGGUCCAUUAAUUAUUUGCAAAGAAUUACCAUGUCUGGUUAGUAAAGAAAACCUCAAUAAAUUCCAAAUGUGUGUGUGUGUGUGUGUGUGUGUGUGUGUGUGUGUGUUGUCAUGGAAAAAAAGUGAGAACGUUACUUCACUAGAUUCACAAGUCACUAGACUUCAGCAAAUAUAAAGCAUUGAUUUGUUUAGAUUCAGAUUCAAACAAACCAACUAUAAAAAAAAAGGUUUUUGAGAGAGUUGGUCAAACUAGUUAUGGACUAAGAUUUAUAUGAUGCCAAAGAAUUAUUGUUCAUUUUGUUAGAGUGAUAAUCACAGCACUGAUUCUUCCUUCCAAACUUACGAGUUUCUAAUAAAAUAAAAUUUGUUGAGUGGGAGGCAGAGGAUUUGGCUACUGUGGAAAACCUGUCGCAGCCUGGCCCUGCCACUUCUCCAGCACCAUCUGUAACCAUCAUAACAAUAUGUGUUCCAGCCAGGCUGCUAUCCUCGAAAUUACUCAAACACACUCUCCUUUUCCAGAAUUCAGUAUCUUUGCAAAAGCCAUUCCCAGGAGUUUGCCUGAAACCCCCUAACCCUGACAAAACUAUCCUGUAAGACUCAGCUCAAAAAUUGCCUUCCUAUGUUCUUUCCUCAGCAGAUGUGGCACAUAAGUCCUUGUGUUCCCACAUUUUUCAAGCACUUACGCCAUUAGACAGUAUCUAUUUCUUGGAACAUCUGUCUUUUCCUGGUGUGCCCUGUAUAUGCUUCCAUCCUGUCACCUCAGUCUGUCCAUUUCCUUCAGAAGUGAGGAGUCUCCAUUUUCUUACCUCUCCUUACUUUACUCCACACCCUAUUUCAUUAUUGCUUCCCCACCCACCUCUUCAGUGAACUGAUUAACAGUUCCAACCUUGUCUAAGGAAAUCACAAUUAUGGGCCAUAGGACUUCAUCUUGCUAACAACCGUGUAAUGAGCUAUGAGGAUGCACUUGAGAAUGUUCAUCCUGAGGUUCAUAAGAAAGUCAUAUUUACUCACCAUUUUCCAUUCCCCACUGGUCGAGGGUUGCUCCAUCGGCUGUUAACAACCUUGUACUUCUAUGCUUCCAUGAGUGGAAGACUUGUUGAGUGGAUCCUUGCAGGUGCCCUUCUUGCUGAUGGCAGCAAAUCCCCACAGCAAAAAUUUCCAGUUACUUGUUAUAGCUGUGACAAGAUACUUUCAGAUUACAUUUGAGCUCAGCUGGUUGCUCCAAAAAUGACAAGGUUAAGAGUGGAAGUCCUAGCCUCAGCAAUCAGACAACAAGAAGAAAUAAAAGGCAUCCAAAUCAACAAAGGAAGAAGUCAAACUCUCACUCUUUGCGGAUGACAAGAUACUCUAUAUAGAAAAACUUUCACUGUUUGCGGAUGUCAGGAUACUCUAUAUAGAAAACCUAAAAGACUCCACCAAAAAAUUGCUGAAACUGAUACAUGAAUUCAGUAAAGUCACAGGAUACAAAAUCAACAUACAGAAAUCUGUUGCAUUGCUACACACAAAUAAUGAAGCAGCAGAGAGAGAAAUCAAGGAAUCAAUCCCAUUUACAAUUGCACCAAAAACUAUAAGAUACCUGGGAAUAAAACUAACCAAAGAGGUAAAAGAUCUGUACUCUUAAAACUAUAAAACACUGAUGAAAGGAACUGAAGAUGACACAAAGAAAUGGAAAAAUGUUCCAUGCUCAUAGACAGGAAGAACAAAUAUUGGUAAAAUGUCUCAGUAAUCUACACAUUUACUGCAAUCUCUAUCAAAAUACCACCAGCAUUUUUCACAAAACUAGAACAAAUAAUCUGUGUAUGGAAUCACAGAAGACCCCAAAUAGCCAAGGCAAUCUUGAAAAAGAAAAGCAAAGUGGGGUGCAUCGCAAUUCUGGACUUCAAGUUUUAUUACAAAGUUGUAAUUACCAAGACAGUAUGGUACUGGCACAAAAACAGACACAUAGAUCAAUGGAACAGAAUAGAAAACCCAGAAAUGGAUCUGCAAAUAUAUGUAAACUAAUCUUUGACAAAGCAGGAAAGAAUAUCCCAUGGAAAAAAGAUAGUCUCUUCAAAAAUUGGUGUUGAGAAAACUAGAUAUCAACAUGUAAAAGAAUGAAAUUGGACCACUUUCUUACACCAUACACAAAAAUAAAUUCAAAAUGGGUGAAAGACCUAAUGUGAGACAGGACCCCAUAAAAAUCUUAGAGAACACAGGCAGUAACCGCUUUGACAUCAGCCAUAGCAAAUUCUUACUAGAUAUGUCUUCUGACACAUCUAGGAAUCAAAGCAUAAAUAAACUAUUGGGAAACAAAAGCAAAAAACAAAAAACAAACAAACAAAACACAAAAAACUGUUGGGACUUCAUCACUAUAAAAAGCUUUUGCGCAAUAAAGGAUACAAUCAACCAAACUAAAAGACAGCCUACAUAAUGGGAGAAGAUAUUUUCAAAUGACAUAUCAGAUAAAGGGUUAGUAUCCAAAAUCUAUAAAGAACUUAUCAAACUAACAUCCCCAAAACAAAUAAUCCAGUUAAAAAUGGGCAGAAGACAUGAAUGGACAUUUUUCCAAAGAAGACAUCCAGAUGGCUAACAGACACAUGAAAAGAUGCUCAACAUCACUCAUCAUCAGGGAAAUACAAAGCAAAACUACAAUGAGAUAGCACCUCAUACCACUCAGAAUGGCUAAAAUUAACAACACAGGAAAUGACAGGUGUUGGUGAGGAUGCCAAGAUAGGGGAAGUCUCUUACACUGUUGGUGGGAAUGCAAACUUGUGCAGCUACUCUGGAGAACAGUAUGGAAGUUCCUCAAAAAGUUAAAAAUAGAACUACCCUAUGCUACAGCAACUGUACUACUAGGUAUUUACCCAAAGGACACAAAAAUCCUAAUUUGAAUGGCUACAUGCACCCCGAUGUUAAUAGCAGCAUUAUCAGCAAUAGCCAAAUUAUAGAAAGAUGGGUUAAGCAGGUGAUGGGGAUUAAGGAGGGCACUUGUGAUGAACACUGGGUGUUGUAUGUAAAUGAUGAAUCACUACAUUCUACACCUGAAACUAAUAUUACACUGUGUGUUAACUGGAAUUUAAAUGAAAACUUGAAAAAGAAAAAAACAAAAACAAAAAAAUGAAAUAAUAAAAUAAAUGUCUGCAGAAUUAUAAAAGGAAGGAAGGAAAGAAGGAAGGAAGGGAGGGAGGAAGGGAGGAAGGAAGGAAGGAAGGAAGGAAGGAAGGAAGGAAGGAAGGAAAUCAAUAGGGCACAAGAAAUGUUCAUUUUUUUCCUGGAUCCUUGUACCCUACUAGUCACUUACAUAUUGGUGUUCCUCAAGGCUAGUCCUCAAUCAAAUGCUACAUAUUCAUUCAUCCUUUCAUCCAUUCAGGAAAUAUAUAUUGCAAACCUAUUAUUUUCUAGGCAGUUGAGAUUCAUUAAUAGACAUCAUAUAAAGGUACCUGCAUUUAUGGGCUCAGCAUUAUGGUAUUACAUAAUAAAUAAGUAAAUUAGCAUAUUAGAAAUAUUAUGCAAAAAAAAUUAAAAGAAGAUUGGAGAAAUCAGGAGUUUUGGGAACAGGGGUGGGUUUGCCAGGGGAGACUACAUUAAGGAAGUGACAUUUUAAUAAAGUCUUAAAGGAGGUGAGUGCAUUCUCUAUAUGAACAUCUGGAGGAGAUUUCCUGACAGAGGGAAGAGCUGGUUCAAAGGCCCUGAGGCAGCAGCAUGACUAGCUACCAUGUUUGAAGGCUAGUGAGGAGGCCAGUGCAGUUGGUCAUGCUGAGCGUGGAGAGGGUGGUAGGAGACAAGAGCAGAAAUGUAUCAGGGACUGGAUAAUGUAGAGCAUGGGAAGCCGUUGUAAGAACUUUGGAUUUUACUUAGGGUGAAAUGGGAGUCAGUGUAAGGUUUUCUAAAAAGGAGUGACAUGACCUGACUUACAAAGACAUCAUCUGGCUGCUGUGUUGCAAAUAGGCUGCCAGGAACCACAUGCAGCGGCAAGUUAACCAGAGAGGAAGCUGUGGUAGGCAGGCUACUGAGAGAGCCCCCAGUGAUUCCCAACUUCUGGAAUUCACAUUUUUCAUGGGAUAUCCUACCCUUGAAUGUGGGCUGGACCUAAUGAACAGACUAUGGCAAAUAACGGAUGCCACUUCCCGGAUUAGGUAAUAAAUUCCUCUCACUUGCCCCGAUGAAGCAAGCUGGCAUAUUGUGAGCCACCCUACAGAGAGGUUCACGUGACAAAGAACUGCAGGAGGUCUCUGCUCAGGAGCCACUGAGGAGCUGAGGCCCUCAGUCCUGUCGUCAAUCCACAGGAAAUGGAUCCUGCCUGCAACCUCAUGCAUGAGCUAAGAAGUAGAUCCUUCCACCUUUGUGCCUGCUAGGUAACUCCAACUGAAACUUGGAGCCUGUGAGAGACUGCAGAGUAGAGAUGUCAGCCAAGCCACCCCUGGAUUCCUAACCUACGGGAACCGUGAGGUAAUCAGUGUUGCUGUUUCAAGCCACUAAGGUUUGGGGGAAUUUGUUAUACAGCAAUAGAUAACCAUAUGGCUGUUAUUGCUGUAUUCCGAGUAAGAGGGGAUCAUGGUUUGGAAUAGGGUGCUAGCGGUGGAAGUGGUAAGAAGCAGUCAGCUUUGGCUUCGAAGGAAGAGUCAGGAGGAUGUAGGAAAUGAGAAAGAGAAAUGGGCCAAGAGUGAUGUGCAAAGGGCUCAAGUGACAUGAGUGACAGAAGGUCGUCAGGUGAACAGGUUCUCUGUUCCUAGGUUGUCUAUGAAGGGGUAUUCUUGGGCCAAGAAGCAGAUGGAUUAGCUUAAAGAGAAGGGACCUACUCUCUUCUUGUCCUCCCUUUUACAGGAGGGGGAGGGAGAGAGCAGUCUUACCAGUAAGGAUAAACAGAUCUCUGAAGUGUCAAGCCGGCUAGGUCUAGGUCGUAGGUAUUUACAAAAAAUUGCUACAAAGGCCAACUGCCGGGGUGCCUGGUGGCUCAGCUGGUUAAGCGCCUGACUCUUGAUUUCAGCUCAGGUCGUGAUCUCAUGUUUGGUGAGAUGGAGCCCCGAGUCGGGCUCUGCACUGACAGCGUGGAGCCUGCUUGGGAUUCUCUCUCUCCCUCUUUCUCUGCCCCUGCCCAGAUAGAUCUCUCUCUCUCUCUCUCUCUCUCUCUCUCUCCACCCUCUCUCUCAAGAUGAACAAAUAAACAUAAAAAAAAGCCAACUGCUAACUCCUGACAAAUUUAUGGGAGGCUGAGUUUGAGUGCAAUCUCUCUAACUGUAAUAAACUGGACCAAAAUAUGUAUUUUUAAGAUGGAAGAACUAACAAGAUUUUCCAAUGGCAAUGAUCCAGUAAAAGGGGGAAAAUCAGAUAAGAAAAGACAGAAUUGCUGGAACAAAGUCCAAGAGUAAGGGAUCCACUACAUGAGUUUGGUUUUAGAUAGGCACACACAGCAUUUCAUCAUUCUGUCUACAUGUUCUCUCUCGGUAAAGCAGGAGCAGUAAAAUCAAAUUAAAUGCCUGCAUUAGACUGUGGCAUGCAGGAGAACACCCGCCUUGUCCAAAAGAGUCACUUUCUAGACACCUCAAGCUUCAGCCAAUUGUUGACAGCUCAGGAAUGUGGACCUGGCCUUGCCAAGUCUUUUGAUUUUCAAAAGAAGCCUGUUAUGCUGCUUUUAUGUGAGAUCUUCCAAUUUUUAAAUGCUUGCCAACUAAUUCGGAAAGGGGAAAAAAAGCACUCCGCAGGCCAAAGCACAUUAGCAGGUUGAAUUGAAUUGUGGUCUUUGCCCUAGGUAAUCACAUGCAGGUUCACUAUUUUAAUUAACAUCUCCUUUUCCACAUGGUAGCUGGAGUGGGUUUUUAGAACACAAAUCUAAUCAUAUCACUACCCUGCUAAAAAUCCCAUCAGUUGCAUGAGGGACAAAGUUUUGCACCCUGGAUAAAGUUUAAACUCUAUAAAGCAGGUUUUCCCCAUGAUUGUGCCUGAGCUAAUUUUCCCAGUCUCGGCUCCUGCCAUUCUGCUCUUAGACCUGACACUCCAGCCAAUGGAACUUCUUCGUCUUCCUCAAGACUGCCAUGCUCACUCCUGCUUUCUGGUCAUUGCACACAAAGCUUCCACUGCUUAGAAAGUUCUUUUCUUCCCUCCUUUACUAACUUUUCCGUUUCUACUAACUCCUCAGGUCUUGUCUUCGUUUUCUUUUUUCCUAGGCUGCCUGCCCCAUUCCCCUCCCCCACCCAUGCCACCUGGAGACCAAACUCUGUAAGGAACCCUUCCUAUGUUCUCGUCAUACCUUGUAUUUCCUCCAAUAGCAUGAGUAUCUUCUGCUACAUUUGCCUUCUCAUAAAUCCCCUAUUUAAAUCCCCUAGAUUCUAAUACCUUUGGGGGUAGGGACAUUUUUGAUCUUAUCCACUGGGUGUCUAGUUUAGUGACCAUUAUGUGGCAGGCAUUAAGUAAAAAAGUGAUAGAAUUUGGUGCUAUCCAUAUCUUGAUACCAAUUGUUUCUCCUAAGCUCUGUAGGGCCAUUCUCUAAUUAUCUCUGCAUAUCUGGAUGUCUACUGGCCCUCCAAAUUCAAUAUGCCCCCUCUCCUUAUUUUCCCUUCUCAACUGAUGAUACCAAAAUCCAUUCAUUUACAUGGGCCACAGAACUGAAGUCUUUCUGAGCCCCACAUCAGGCAUCACCAGAUUCUGUUGACUAUUUCUUGACCAUCUCUUAAGUUAAGCUAUUGUUUUCCUUCCCACUACUACUGCCUCUGAUAAGAUCCUCUUAUCUCUCAGCUUAUGUAUAUACCCAGAAACAUCUCCCUCUACCUGUCACCCACUCAUCUCUGCAUCUACUCACAACCCCGUUGGCAAAACCAGUCCUAUUUUCUUCUGCUUCAAAUGCUUCACUGAUGCCUCAUAGGCAUUUAGGUCUACUUCAAAUGUGGUAAGAGGUUCCUGACAUUCAACUCUUACCCAUUCAUGACCUACCCAGCUUACAUUCCCUAUGGCCUCCCACCACACUGCCCCAUCUUGCACAUUAUGCUCUAAAAUAUCAAGCCUCUUGUAGUAUCCUAAAUGUGAUUUCCAUACCAUGUCUUAAGUGCACUUACCCGGACUGUUAUUUCUUCCAAUAUUCUGUUUCAUCUCUCCAGAGAGACUGUUACUCAUCUUCUGAAUUAGGCUCAAAUAUCCCCUUAUCUAGGAAUCCCUUUGUAAAAUUUCCCUCUAAGAAUUACUCACUUCCUAUGAGCUGCUUGGAUGUUUAUUUAUUUCUGUUGUACUUACUUAUAAAUCUGUUUCUUCCCCUAGACUAUGAGAUCUUUAAGAACAGAGACCCGGCUUCACUCAUCCCUGUUGUCCCAGCGACAAGCACAGAACCAGACACACGGUGAUUGUUUAUAGACUGUGUUUCAUUUAAUGGCGGCCAUACUUUUUCAUGGGCAUCUCGAAUGUACCAUUGAUUCUGAGACCACUAAAUACUCCUGCUUGUAUUUAAAGUAGUUACCAAAGCGUUUAGAUUUUAAUGUACAAGGAAAUAGAAAGGAUCUUGUUGCCCUGCACUUGAAGCCAAUAAGCAUUUAUCUGCUCAUAUCUGCUGCGGAGUAACCAGGAAAAGAAUACGCAAAAUUGUGAGAAAGUGGAAGUUGUCUUUGGUAUCUUCCUUGUUUCCUUUCUACUGUUCAUUUUUCUCUUCUGAAAUGUUUUUCCUUCUAACUUUCUCCCUUUACCCCCAACAUGCUUUUCAUAUUUUCUCUUCCCAAGGCACAUCAUUUUCUGGAAUCGCACAGUAUCAGAAAUUUUGAUCAGCAAUAAUCUUUAGAGUAAAUUGAGUUUCUUCUUUGAAUUCUUGGUCUGAAAGGAAGGAAAUCACUGGUGAGAACAGAGGGACAGGAUGUUUGAAAUUGAGUCUAUUCCAGAAAAUGUAUGACAUAUGUCCCAUGUUACUGAGACAGGGAAACUGAAGGACUCCAUAAAAAUCUGCUUUUUGCUCCUUUUCUUGUUUCUGUUCUCACUAGGACCUGCACCCCAACCCCACUUUACAUAUGCCUUGUAAUACAGAUGGCAUGUGUCCUCCCUGUGAGGGACAAGGAGCUAAUGAUUCUCUAAAAUAAAUAGCAUCUAAGGAAGGACCAGUUGAGAAUGAUAGGACGAACCUAUCAUAUGCAAAUUCCAGACCACCUAAGCUAGACAUCUCUACACCAAGGCGCCCUUGGCUCCAAGAAAUAGCACCUGGGUCCUCAUCUUUGUUCUAACUGGUUCCUGGAUGCCUGAGAGGAUGCAUACACCAGGCCACCAUAAGCCCCAGACCCUAGACAAAGAUGAGAUCCCUUCCUUUUCCAAGUCUCCCAGAUUCUCUGAGUGUCUAUUUCAUAUAUCUUCAAUAAACUCUGCUUUCACCUCCUG
rnacentral:lncRNA from 1 species